AUGGUCAUGUACAAUGGUAGAGAAAAUUAUCUUCUCUUAUGUAUUCCACAUAAUUAAAAAAACAAUAAAACAUGCUACUCCGUACAUAAUAGGUCAUCUCCACGCGACUCGGCGCUUCCUCGACCCCAUUCUCCGCACUGGCACUUCCAUGCAUGCAUAUGCAUCAGCGAGCAGGAGAUGAAUCCUGCAAGCAACGUCGUGCGGGAAGACCAUCGGACAUCUGUCCGUACGUGCACAGACAUGCUUAAAUGAAUACAAUUAAUAAGACAAACGUGAAGGUGAAAUCUAUCACCAUGCGGAAAUGUCUUGCAUUAUUCUCGUGGAAAGAUCAUUUAUUCGUUUAUAGAAGGCUCACUUUUUUUUUGUUUAUUUUUCUCUUUUCUGAACCAAUAACCAUCCUACGCGGUAUCGCUAACGACAAUUUUAACCAAGGAGGAAAGAGUCAGAGAUAUGUUUUUUUUUGAAGAAAAUGGCAGGAGCUCUGCCGUUCAAUUAAGUAAAGAAAGAGUACAACUAGUUUUGGGAAUAGGGGCGGAGCUAGAAAGAAACCCCCGAAACAAUGGACUACUCACACAAAUCGUGACCACCCACAACUGAAGGCCUGAUUUUCUAGUAGAUUUUCUGAGUAUCCAGAAGUAAAUUUCUUUUACACCCAAAGAAUUGAACUGUUCAUUAGCAUCAUAUUUAAUUUUAUGGAUGGUGUUUUUGUCACUGGCGAAAAUCAGAUUGGAGAUGCUAGAGCUAGGCUCAGCUUACUGAUAAUGGGAUCACAAAGCGAGCAAACGUUCACUCUCUAGCCAUUCGGCUUGACAAUCUAAAGUUGUCAUCCUCGCAGAAUUAAAGUUGUCACUUCUACGGUCUAAAGUUGUCACCAUCAUGGUUUUCGCACAUCAAAUGGACGAGUGAUGGCUGACAUGGCGAUUCUGAUGCUUCAGAGGGGGUUUUCUGUUAGUUUGGCGUACUGUUCUCCUUUUGAAAAAAAAAACAGGCUCUUCCAUCCGUCCUUGCCCCCGGUCCUAGCUGUGCUCAGGGCCGGUCCUAAGAUUUCGGGGCCGGAGCGAACUUAGAGAACCGAGCCCUUAAUAUAAAACAGAAAUCAAUAUAAACUAUGUAACGACUUGCAUUUAUUUUUCAUAUAAUUCGCUUUCGAGUACUCCCUCUGUUUCAUAAUUUUUACCGAAUAUUAAAUGUAUCUAGACGCUCUUUAGAAAUAGAUACAUCCAUUUUUGUGCAAAUUUGAGACAAGAAUUAUGAAACGGAGGUAGUAUCUUACAAAUAGUGUAUGGAUUUAUUAAAAAUUGAAAGGAAGAAUACUAUCAUAUCAUACUAGCACAUUCAACGUGGGAGUAAAUACACAUUUGGAUAUCUCUUAAUAUCUUACUUUGUUCCUCCGCAACAACUAUCGUCAACUUGUUUGGAUAACUGGAAGUGGUUAUCUGUACCUAAUAAUAAAAACAGUAGUGUUUCUAUAGUUGUCUGUCAUGGCAAUUUUGCGUUUUGGUCUUUCCUUUUUUAAGAAAUCAACGCGCAAUCCAAUUUGAAGACGGAACUGAGCUUUUGAUGUUUUUCCGGUAUUAGAAUUGAUCUAUGGGGAAAGGCUAGGGUUACAGUAAUGUUGUUGCAACGAGGUAUAAUGUCACUGGAUCGCGAUGGUCAGAUUUUCUGGACCUGUUGUUAAUCCAAUAGUUCUGGCAUCGACACUUACGAUUUGAGAAUCUUCUGGAUCUUUCCUGUAUGUUCCCUUCAUAUUUAUUCGUAUGUGCCUAAUUUGGUUUGGAUGCUGGUCCUGUUUGGUCUUACGAGAUUUAAACUGAAUUUGAACACGCAGUGUUUCAUCGGCUGGCAGCAGUCCACAGCAGAGGAAUGGUUGUUGUGUUGCUCUCCUUUUUUUCAUUGUUCUAUAUAUAGUACUCCAUUCGAUCCUAAAUUAUUAUCGAAAUAUCACAUGUAUCUAGACGUUUUUUAAGAAUAGAUACAUUCAUAUUUGAACAAAUUUGAGUCAAGAAUUUAGAAUCAGAGAGAGUAUAUUUUUACAGCUGCCUUGCAUUUUUCAAUUGCGCAAAGUUUGGCACUAGAUGUGAUUGUCAUAUUUUUACAGCUGCCUUGCAUUUUUCAAUUGCGCAAAGUUUGGCACUAGAUGUGAUUGUCAUAUCAGGAGGUGCCAUAGACGGCCACACAUCAUCCUAACAUCUUUUUAUCGUACUGCAAUAUUUCAGGUACCACACCUAUGACCUAUCCCUUCCAUGCCUGCGGUGCACUUCAUAUAGCUAACAAGUUGAACUCGUCAUCAACCUAUCCGUUGCUGGAGCUAUUCUUCAAGAACCAGUUCAGUUGCAUUUUCUGUUUAACAGAGUUUUAAAUCGCUGACAUCACUGCAACUCACAUGUUGGUUUGAUCUAAAAGAACUUAUUUGCUGCUUUAUCAUUUAUUUAGGUUCUUUUGGGCAUUCUGAAGGCUUUUCAAAAGUACCUUUUGUUCAUAUAUAGGGAGUAGGCAGGAGGCAUCGGACGAACACACAACAACUAAUCAUGGAUAGCUGCAAGAAUCUGGAUGGCAUAAAAGAGUGUUUGGCGAGAAAAAUAACGAAACUCUAUGACAGAGAGUGUAUUUUCUCAACGCUCCAAGGGAAUGAAAAGAUGCGGGCGUGCCAGUGCACUAAUGUACACAAAUAAAUAAAGACAAAGUAGUUAACAUGUAUUUUAUUAAUCUCAUGUAGAGAAACGAAAUUACAAGUUCUCUUAUGAAAAGUGCACUCCCUGUGGCCUACUAACACGGCCAACAUGACAUGGGCGAUUGUGAUCUCUUGGUUCACGGAGCCUCAAAAAGCUCUCGCUUAAUUACGUCCGCAGGUCAGACCACCUCUGAUUAAGCUGCUGCAACGGUGUCGUCUUCAAGUCUUGUCUUCUCCUUGUGCUUGGUGCAGAAGAUGGUGGUGAUGAAGAGGAAGAGAGGGGUGGUACGACCCCACUCCGUCGAUGCUAAGCCACGACCAUUCAACCGUGCAGGUGACGAACGGCGUGCUACGCCGUCUUGUCGAUGUACGAUGAAGUGUCUAGCUGAUACGCGCCUUGUCAGCUAGACAGGUUGAUGAAGUGGCCUUCGCCUCGUCGGUACCUGGCCUGUAAAAUGUCCGCGUCAUCGGACCGGACAGGAUGUCUUGCCGUCACCUAGAGUCGGUGCCCAGCAAGAGCAUGUGAUGUGGUGAUGAACUUCAUCGGUACACGGACAUGUCGGUAGAGUGGCUUCGCCUCGCCAGUGUUGGGGAAGAUGGUUAGAUGCCGGAAUGUCAUCGGCAACGUGGAUGAGGGAGUAGACUUGAUGUUGAAGACGACGAUGUAGGAGCUGUCGGGGGUGCAAGAGACCUCGCCAGGAGUUGGUGAAUGGUGCGCCCAAGCGGGCGCCAGGUAUGGCGGUAUCUCGAUAGACAACCACGUGGAAGGCCGCCACGAGCGGCGGCAUGCUGAUGCCAAGUUGGUGAAGAGCACACCAAGACGGGUGCCGUGUAUGGCGGUGUCUCAACGAACACUUUGUAGAAGGCCGCCACGAGUGGUGGCAUGCCAAUGCCAAGUUGGUGAAGAGUGUGCCAAGGCGGGCGCCGUGCAUGCAGGUGUAUCAGAUGACACCACGUAGAAGGCCGCCAUGAGCGGCGUGUUCAUACAUAUGACUCAUACCUGUGAAAAGUGCGCCAAGGCGGGCGCCAUGCGUGGCAGUGUCUCAGCGGACACCACGUGGAAGGUCGCCACGAGCGGCGGCAUAUUGAUGCCAAGUUGGUAAGGACUGCGCCAAGGCGGGCACCGUGUAUGGUGGUGUCUCAGCGUACACCACGUAGAAGGACGCCACGAGCCGCGGACUUGUGAGCCGACAGGCACCUCCUGCCGGUACAGACAACCUGUACGAUGUAGACAUCGCCCACAACCAUGCAGACGGCAGUGGUGUUCGGGCUUGCGUUGUCGAUGAUGGCUGUUGCUGAUGAAGGUAGCGCCCCACCUAGGUUGGGCACUAUGUAGAGGCUCCAGCCCACGAUCGACCGUCGAGCAUGACGGUGCUCAGGCGGAAACCUGUUGGCUAUUGAUGAAGACGACGCCUCGCAUUGUCCGGGUGUUGGAACAUUACGCUCGUCUUAGUGUGGUGCCGGGCAGACACCGGUUGGUUGUUGAUGAAGACGAUGCCUCGCAUUGUGCGGGCGCCGGAACGUGGCACACCUCCAUGACAUGGCGCCAGCAACGACGCACGAUGGCAAUCACGACCACAUAGAAAGGUGGUCGUGGGCACCAUGCGGCCAAGCUCCGGAGAUGGCGUCGUCGUCGUUGCUCGAAGCCGUGAGCUUUGUAGCCACGACCUGGUCCUCCUCUGCAUGGGAACAAUAGAUUAUAGGACAUGAUAUUACCUUCAUGCGUGCAUGUGUCGAUGGUUGGGGGUGGGGGGGGGGGUGGAAGCAAGCCAGCCGCCUCCACACCAUUGCGGACGUGCGGGGCGACUACGUGUGACAGCCCUUGCUGCCUUCACACGGCGAUACUCAUCACGGGCAGCAGAGCGCAGGAGGCCGUCGAGACGGCUGGACCACCAUAGUGGCCCUGCCUCCAACAUGGCCGCUGGCUGUGCGACGGUGGCUUCCGAAACGUCAGCUCGGCAACAUCUACAUCUGCCUAUGCCCGAUGCAUGUAUCAAGUGGCCGUGUCUUCUCCUGUUCUCCAUCCAUGUGAACCUGGUUGGUGCUGCUAGGCAUGCGUGCUCCGGUGCAAGGUACGCCGCCAUGGGCGCAUUCUCUGCUACGUAGCCCUCGUGGUCGAUCUGCGCCUCCGGAACACACCUGGUAGAUAGAGAACCAUACCUGCGCCUGGCGGCCUCGUCGGUCUUUUUCAUGUUCAAUCGGACCUGCGCCUGGUCCUCCUUGGCGUCAACGACGGCGUGACAGAGAUCACAACCAUGUUGCAAGGUGGUCGCGUAAUCACGCCGCCAAGCUUUAGUGAGAACGGCCCCUGCCUAUAUAUCCAUGGCAGGUGUCGCGUGUGUACAACCGCGCGUGGUCAGCGCGCCAGCGAGCAGCACUGGUGCUACCUCUUUCACUUCGCUGCUCCUUGAUCUGUUCACCUUGGGUGCGUCGUGGCUUGCGUCGCCGCGUGGGGCGCGUAUUGUGCUGCCAUUUGUCUGGCCUCAGGCUUCCGAUCUGCUGGACCUGUUCGCUUGGGAUGCUCGGGGGUCUGUUCACCUUAGGCCCGUCCAAGCGCUGUCCCGUGCCUGGCCUUCUGGAUCAAGCUCCCUGUACCUGUUCGUGAUCGGCGCGUCGUGCGCUGCCCACCGGUGUCUAGGGGUCUGCCUUCCGCCUUCCCAGAUCGAUACUGGUCUUGCUUAUAUAGGGAGCCGGGCAGGGCAUCGCGCGUACGUGCUGCACGCGGCCGCUCGGCCUCCUGAUUUUCUGUUUCAGUUUGGUCCGUUGAGAUAGAGACCGAUAAGGUUGUUUCUUAUCCGUACAGAGCUGAAGUGCGCGCAUCGAUCACCACACGGACGCACAGCUAGUUGUGUAGACGGGUGCACCACAUGAUCGAUCAACCAUCAAAUCAGCCCGCAUAUAUGUAUGUUGUAUGCAUGUGCCAGCAAAUAACCAGCCCUUGUUGCAUGCGGGUACUAACUAGUAAUCAUUCCGGGCUUGACGCUAGCCAUUAGCCAAGCUCCACGAUACACUAGCUCACAACUAUUUUAAACAUGUGCCGUGCAUUUCAAUAUUUUUUUCUUUGACGUUUGACUUAAUUUCGCGUCGAAUUUGGGUACAAAAUCUCGUCAAACAAAGAGAUCUAUUAAGAACUUGGUCUGCAAUUGUGAAUGGGCAGACUGCCAGUACUUUUAUAUGUCAAACGUAAACGUAACUACAAUUCUUCAUCUUUUUCCAGCAGCCAGCACACCACUGGAAAGAAAAUCUCUUCAACAUAAAAGUUUAAUUGUAUGGAAUAUCUCAUUUCUUUUGCUGCUCCCUUGCAUUACAAAUUUUGAGUCGUUUACUGUAUUUGUUUCAAGUAGAUGCCAGUUCAAAAUUGAAAACAAUCUUCAGUACACAACUUUGGCAACAGUUUUUCUAUCGAAAGCAAUACUUGCAGUUUACUGGAGUGCCCUUUUAUCACCAAAUGAGAUAACCUUUAUUAUUUCUUUUUUCAAAAUGGGUCGUUCUUUCCUAUGAUAUAUCUCGAAGUCCAAAAAUUCUAAAUUGGGUUAUUUCUUUGUGGAAAACAAUAUAUAUUUUAAUUAGGUCAUUCCAAUGUAGACACGUGCGUUACUAAGUUCUGAACGUUAACCAUCACACGGCAUAGGUACAUUUGCUGUUUAACACAAAGGCGCAUGAUAUAUAGGGAGAGUUGGAAGGGUGGCAAACAGUUAGCGGCGCUGCAAACACCAAGGUGGAUCGACAACGGGAGUGCCCUGCUCACCAAUCAUCAAAAUUUGGUGGCAAGAUGCACGCAAUCAGCUUUUAAAAUAGUCGCGACGACCAUCUUACGCCUAUACCGUGGCAACGCACGGACAAUGUACUAGUCUUACUCUUACCAAUUGAUCAUCUCUAUUAUUUUAUCUACUCAUCUACUCAUUUCUUUUUCUCACUAUUUGGAUGCGUAUUUCUUAGACGACAUGACAGUCCUACAAUUUUAGUCAACAAUGAGAUCUAACUAAAAGAUGGCACAAGCUACAAACGUACACUAGAUUAACGAAUUAUUAUUUUUACCGUUUAUCUAAUCAUCUUGUCCAGCGGAUCUCACUCUGGGCAGUUCAGACGAUUCGGCUUCAUCGGCGUCUCGGUGAGCAGUAGCGCCAUCUCCGCGUGGCGUCUGGACUCUAGAUUACGCCGUCUACCGAAAUUGCCGAUCUGUGUUUUGCGUGUGCGUACUCGAUUUAUUGGAUUUCUCUCCAAUCCACGUCGUCGUAAUACUGACCAAUAGCAGCGCGCGAUCUACCCAGGGUGAUUCGCGUGACCACGGAUCCCAGCCGUCCGUCCGGUUCAGAUUAGAUUAACUGCACCGCAUAAUGUCCCAAUCAAUCUGGCACAAAUUAAGGAACCUACACCCCUAAAAUCGGUUCGUGUGCCUGUGUUAGUUCGCCUAUAAAUACCCUCUGCGACUCUGCGACUCUGCUCUCAGGCUAUUUCUACAUCACACACAAGGAGUCAAGGACCGAUCAACCUGAGCGUUCACAACAUCCACAAGGGUUCCAACAACUGUCAGAAGUAAACCGAUCGAUCCCCACCUACCUGAGUGUUCUAAUCCCGACAAUUCUAUUUUAGCAUGUCCUAGGUUGGUGUUUGCUUGUGUUUAGUGUCUGUCCGGCUGUCUCAUAUGGCCGGCCUGGGGUCUCCCUAGAAACUUUGGUUGCAUACAUAGAAAACAGGCCCGGUGAGUCCUGUGAUGCCUUUGUUUUUUUUGCUUAAGCAGCAUAGUUUUGUGGUCACCGCACGUACAAAACAAGAGCUUCACUUUUUUUUUUUGAACUCCUCUUUUCCUUUCUAAUUCUCCUCUUUGAACAUUUUUGCCUCAGUACCUUGUUGUUUUUCCUUGGUAGGAUCGAGUACAAUAUUUGAUAUAUCAUCCAAUCUCGACUUUUAGAGUUCAUUAUUUGGCACUCCUCAUUUUUUUAUUUUGCAGAAAUGUAAUAAAACCAACAUGGUUUCAAUUGUUUGAACUUGAAUUCCCAAUUCAAAACUCAUACCCCCAAUUGUUUUUUAUGCUAGCUAAGUUUUAUUUUUGUACAUGAUUUACCAUAUUGUUUGUAGGAUGGCUCGAACUAAGAUGACAGCUCGUAAGUCCACUGGAGGAAAGGCUCCAAGAAAGCAACUUAGGGCAACCUGUGUAUGCAUAUAGUUUGUCAUUACUAUUCACAUCAGCAUCAAAUAUCUUAAUUUGCUAAUUUACCAAUAAUAUUGAAUCGAUUUCUUGAUGACGUGACCACAGCCCUCCACGUCCACCGGAGGAAAGGCUCCAAGGAAGCAACUUAGGGCAUCCUGUGUAUGCAUAUAGUUUGUCAUCACUAUUCACAUCAGUAUCAAAUAUCUUAAUUUGCUAAUUUACCAAUAAUAUUGAAUCGAUUUCUUGAUGACGUGACCACAGCCCUCCACGUCCACCGGAGGAAAGGCUCCAAGGAAGCAACUUAGGGCAUCCUGUGUAUGCAUAUAGUUUGUCAUCACUAUUCACAUCAGUAUCAAGUACCUUAAUUUGCUAAUUUACCAAUAAUAUUGAAUCGAUUUCUUGAUGACGUGACCACAGCCCUCCGCGUCCACCGGAGGAAAGGCUCCAAGGAAGCAACUUAGGGUAUCCUGUGUAUGCAUUUAGUUUGUCAUUACUAUUCACAUCAGUAUCAAGUACCUUAGUUUGCUAAUUACCAAUAAUAUUGAAUUGAUUUCUUGAUGACGUGACCACAGCCCUUCGCGUCCACCGGAGGAAAGGCUCCUAGGAAGCAACUUAAGGCAUUCUGAAUGCACAUAAUUUGUCAUUACUAUUCACAUCAGUAUCAAGUACCUUGAUUUGCUAAUUUACCAAUAAUAUUGAAUCGAUUUCUUUAUGACGUGACCACAGACCUCUGCUCGUAUGACAGUUCCCACAAUAGGUGGAGUGAAGAAGCCUCGCCGGUACCGGCCUUGACCUGUUGCUCUCUGGUACGUGCAAACUAAUAACUUGUGUUGUCAUGUUCUUAUUUUGAGCUGUGUGCACUCAAAGUUAUAACAAAUGCCUUCCAUCCGUAUAUGUUAUCUCUCAUAGCAAAAUUGGCGAGUAUCAAAAGGGAAUGGAGCUGCUCAUGAGGAAGCUACCUUUUGUUGGAAUUUUGGGUUAGACCCAGCGCCCAAUCUGAAAUUAAUUCCUGAAAAAUCUCAAAAGCCCAUUCAUGCAGUGGGAUGAGAAAGUGUGAAUAAUCCCACCUUGCUAGUUUAGGGGGAGUUGGACCAAUAAAUAAGGUAUGUUGGUUCUCACCUCUUGAGCAACUGAGCAAGGGAAAUCUCCACGCGCGCUCCUCCUCCUCCUCGCCUCGCCUCGACGCGGGUUAUCUUUUUGGCAGUCGGAAUCCGUUGCGGACGAUUAACAAAUCCCGAUAAUUGCGGAGUCGGUUUUGGUUUCCUAAACCGAAACGAAGUCCGCCUUCGUACCUAUAUAAUAAGACGACCGCGGCCUCCGAGAAAAACACACCACAACUCUAGCCGUCACGCCUACGAUCCAAUCUCACUAUUCGCCGCCGACUGCUACUCCAUCCCGUCGACUGCGUGCACAGAUCGCCGGAGAGCAGGCCUCCGGAACCCCGACCUUCGAGAUCCUGCCCGGGAGACGGUCGAUAAGGUUUUUGGGGAGCGUUUCACGCGACUGCUCGCUUCUUCACGUCCCUGUUUCGUCGGCAUCUUCAUCACCAAUGGCCAACGACCUCGGAGAUCCCGCGGCUCAGGCUGCCGCUCUAGCUCAGCAGCAGCAGGCUGCACAACUCCAAGCACAGCAGCAGGCUGCCCAACUCCAAGCCCAAGCAACUGCUGCUGCACAAGCGCAAGCGGAGGCACUGGCCGCCGCUCAGGAGGUAGUCAAGGCGGCGGCUGCUACCGACGUGAACAUCGACGCCACCGGACUCGUCACCGAUCUCAACAAACAAACACAAGAAAAGAGUACAGCUCCGUACGUAAUCUAUUCAUUCUUGUUGAUUUUGAUUAGUAGUUCUAUUAUUCAUGCCGUGAAAUUAGAUGAGUUUUAUUGCUGUGCGUUGCUAUUUAAUUUGUCUAGUUUGCAUGAUAUAAUAUGCUACAUGUUUUACACACUGUUUUUCUGGAUUAAAUAUUCAUCAAAAUUACCUAAUUACUCAACACCUUUUCAGAGACUUGUUCGUGAGAUUGCCCAGGUUUUCAAGGUAUGCUUCCUUGAAAUCAUACAUGUCUUCAUGUAGUUGUGUUUUCCAUCCCCUGUCACUUCAAAGAAAUAUUUCUGCUUUUUAGAAAACAUUGUGUAUACAGUAAUUGUGAUUGAUAUUUUAUUCUCCUGCUUAUAUUUGCAGAUUGACCUGUGUUCGUGGCUAUGGGCGCAUGGUGGGCGGUACAACACGGGAAGACUCAAACAAUUGCUUCUUAGCAGUUGUAUGUUGAGGCUUGUGUUGUAGUCGUUGGUGCGAUCUGUAGUGUGCUGGGAGAUAAGCUCGUUGAUGCUUAUCUGCACUAUCAGGAUGCCAAAGAGUUGUGGGAUGCGCUCGAUGCUAAGUUUGGCGCAUCUGACGCUGGCAGUGAGCUGUAGUCAUGGAGCAGUUCUUUGACUAUAAGAUGGUUGUAAACCGAUCUGUAGUGGAACAAGCUCAUGAGUUACUGACUAUGGCUAAGGAACUUGAGCAAUUCAAGUAUCCACUACCCGACAAGUUUGUCGCCGGGGGCAUCAUCGCCAAGCUUCCUCCCUCGUGGAGGAACUUUGCUACUUCACUAAAACACAAGAGACAAGAAAUCUCUGUGGAGAACCUGAUUGGGACUCUUAAUGUUGAGAAGAAGGCGAGAGCAAAAGAUGCUGGCCCCAAAGGCAACACACAAGAGGGGUACGUCCACUGCCAACAUGGUUCAGAGGAACAACCACAACAACAGUAACAACAAGGGAAAGGGAAAGGCAUUCAACAAUGCUGGUCCAAAGAACACUACCACUUUCAAGAAAAAGAAGAAAGCAGGCAACAAGAACAACGAUCCUUGCUUUGUGUGCGGAGGACUUGGCCAUUGGGCGAGUAACUGCAAGGAGCGCAAAAGACGACAGAUUCGACAAAAGUUUGCUAAUUUGACCAUUGGCAACAAUGAAGAUGCAGGCAGGUAUGGUAAUUUAUUUACUGUAUUUUUUUUAUGUCAGUCCACCGAUUGGUGGGUCGAUACAGGUGUAACUAUUCAUGUGUGUGCUGAUAUUUCCUUGUUUUCUUCAUAUCAGGCCAUCUGCUCCUCAGUGAUGAUGGGGAACGGCGCCCAUGCUUCUGUUCAUGGUGUUGGCACGGUGGAUCUGAAAUUUACUUCGGGAAAGAUCGUGCAGCUGAGGAACGUGCAGCAUGUGCCCUCCAAUCAGAAGAAUCUUGUUAGUGGAUCCCUCCUUUGCAAGGACGGAUUUAAGUUAGUGUUUGAGUCCAAUAAAGUUAUUGUGUGUAAGUAUGGACAAUUUAUUGGUAAAGGUUAUGAGUGCGGAGGUUUGUACCGCUUAUCCCUUUCGGAUUUUUGUAAUAAGGUAGUGAACACCAUCAAUUCUAUUAAUAAUGAGUCUAAUGUUUGGCAUUCACGACAUUGUCACAUUAAUUUUGGUUGCAUGACGCGAUUAGCAAAUCUGAGUUUAAUUCCUAAAAUCACUGUGCCUAAAAGUUCGAAGUGCCAAGCUUGUGUGCAAGAGAACAGCCUCGCAAGCCUCACAAGGCUGCUGAGGAGAGGAACCUAGCACCGUUAGAGCUCAUACAUUCUGAUCUUUAUGAGAUGAACGGUCUAUUAACCAAAGGUGGAAAACGUUACUUUAUGACUUUCAUUGAUGAUGCGACUAGAUUAUGUUAUGUGUAUUUAUUAAAAUCAAAGGAUGAAGCAUUGCAUUAUUUUAAGAUCUAUAAAGCUGAAGUCGAGAAUCAACUUGAGAAGAAAAUUAAACGUUUGCGGUUUGACCGCGGUGGAGAAUAUUUCUCCAGUGAGUUUAAUUCAUUUUGUGAGGAACAUGGCAUAGUUCAUGAGAGGACGCCUCCCUAUUCGCCCCAGUCAAACGGGGUUGCUGAGAAGAAAAACCGCACGCUGACUGACUUGGUCAACGCCAUGUUAUACACUGCUGGUUUAUCCAAGGCAUGGUGGGGGGAGGCGCUAUUGACUUCGUGUCAUGUCCUAAAUCGUGUUCCCACAAAAGAUAAAGAAGUCACCCCAUACGAGCUAUGGGGAAAGAAGAGACUCACACUUUCUUUCUUACGGACUUGGGGUUGUUUGACGAGAGUCAAUGUGCCAAUCACCAAGAAACGUAACCUUGGACCAAAAACCGUUGAUUGUUUCUUUCUUGGCUACGCACUUCGGAGUGUUGGCUAUAGAUUCUUGGUUGUAAAUUCUGGAGUACCUGACAUGAGCGUCGGUACAAUUAUGGAGUUCAGGGAUGCUACAUUCUUUGAGGACAUAUUUCCCAUGAGAGAUAUGCAUAGCACAUCUAGAGAGGAUCGUGAUGUACCUGCUGAACCCGUCAGUUCAGAGGAACAUCAGGAUCAUGGUGUAGCUCCUGAAUCCGCCAUCCCAGUGGAAAAUCUUGAACAAACACGUGAUGAGAUUCCUGAGGAGUAUGACAAUGAAGCCUCUAUUAGGGGUAAGCGACAAAGGAUUGCUAAUCCUUUGGUGAUGAUUUCAUUGUGUACCUUGUGGAUGACACCCCUAAAACCAUUAAUGAGGCAUUUGCAUCUCCGGAUGCAGACUAUUGGAAGGAAGUCAUUCGUAGUGAGAUGGAUUCUAUCAUGGCUAAUGGUACUUGGGAGGUCGUUGACCGUCCGCACGGGUGCAAACCUGUAGGAUGCAAGUGGAUAUUUAAGAAAAAGCUUAGGCCUGAUGAUACUAUUGAGAAGUACAAGGCGCGGCUUGUGGCCAAGGGUUUUACCCAGAAAGAAGGUGAAGAUUUCUUUGAUACUUACUCACCUGUAGCUCGAUUGACCACAAUCAGAGUAUUAUUAUCACUGGCUGCCUCAUAUGGUCUGAUCGUCCAUCAAAUGGACGUUAAGACAGCUUUCCUUAACGGAGAGUUGGACGAGGAAAUUUACAUGAACCAGCCAGAUGGAUUUGUAAUAAAGGGUCAUGAAGGCAAAGUGUGUAAGUUAUUAAAGUCUCUAUAUGGCCUGAAACAAGCUCCUAAACAAUUGCAUGAGAAGUUUGACAAAACUUUAACAUCUGUCGGCUUUGUUGUAAACGAAGCUGACAAAUGUGUAUACUACCGCCAUGGUGUGGGUGAGGGAGUUAUACUUUGUUUGUAUGUCGAUGACAUACUAAUAUUUGGGACUAACCUCAAAGUGAUUGAAGAGGUUAAGACUUUCUUGUCGAAGUGCUUUGACAUGAAAGACCUUGGUGUAGCUGAUGUUAUUCUGAGCAUCAAACUCGUGAGAGGCGACAAUGGUGAGAUCACUUUGUUGCAAUCUCACUAUGUGGAGAAGAUCUUGAGUCGUUUCGGCUAUGCUAAUUGUAAAUCUUCUCCAACUCCUUAUGAUCCAAGCGUUCUGCUUCGAAAGAAUCACAGAAUUGGAAGAGACCAAAUGAGAUAUUCUCAGAUUAUUGGUUCACUCAUGUAUUUGGCUAGCGCAACUAGACCUAACAUCUCUUUUGCUGUGAGCAAACUGAGUCAGUUCAAUAAGAAUUCGGGAGAUGAUCAUUCGAGUGCACUCGAGAGGGUCAUGUGCUAUCUAAAGGGCACAAUGAGCUAUGGUAUACACUAUACUGGGCACCCCAAGGUACUUGAGGGUUAUAGUGAUUCAAAGUGGAUAUCUGAUGUUGACGAGCUAAAGGCCACGAGUGGAUAUGUGUUCACACUCGGAGGGGGCGUUGUUUCAUGGAAGUCUUGCAAGCAAACGAUCUUAACCAGAUCAACAAUGGAAGCAGAACUUUCAGCAUUAGAUACAUCCACGGUUGAAGCCGACUGGCUUCGUGAGCUCUUGAUGGACUUGCCGAUUGUUGAAAAACCAAUACCGGCGAUUCUUAUGAACUGUGAUAGUCAAAGUGAACAGUUUUAAAGAUAACAUGAAGUCAUGAAGACACGUCAGGAGACGUCUGAAAUUUAUCAGAGCAAUGAGAAAUUCCGGAAUAAUAGCAUUGGGAUAUAUCCCAACGGCUAAAAAUCUGACAGAUCCCUUUACAAAGGGUCUAUCAAGGAAUGUGAUAGAAUCUGCAUCAAGAGAGAUGGGGUUGCGACCCACGUGAGUUACCAUGACGGUACCAACCUAUGUGAUCGGAGAUCCCGUGAAUUAGGACUUGGGAAACAAGUCAUUGGAUAACUGAGGAGAGUGUACAUUCUUUAUCCCACUCCGUUGACGAUGCAUUACUCUCGUGCACUGUAUGGUAGGUUGUUUAACUUAAUGUGUUCUAACGCGUUGCAUUAAUUUGCAAGGAAGAUACUGUCCUACAGAGUAGUCUCUAAAUAACACACCUAUAUGAGCCUGACUGUUGGUCGCAGUCUAUGAGAUUUGGGUGGUCUCUGCUAAGGUCAUGAAAAGGCCUGGAGAAUGACUUAUAUGCUCCACACCGCGGGGUAGCAUUCGGCAGCCCAGUACCAGACAACAAUUUAGUGAAGCUCUAACACAGAAAACUGACAAUUCAAGGUUUGUCCAUUGUUCAGUUGUGCGUGAGUGAAGCUAUUUGUUUAGGUGGAUGUUCAACCUUAACCGGUCUCCACUGAAACGCUGGUAUAUCAAAAACAGAAUUUUGGAUCAACGGCAAUUUUAUGUGCUUAUGAGAUAUUGUGGGGGAUUGUUGGAAUUUUGGGUUAGGCCCAAGGCCCAAUCUGAAAUUAAUUCCUCGAAAAUCUCAAAAGCCCAUUUAUGUAGUGGGAUGAGGAAGUGGGAAUAGUCCCACCUUGCUAGUUUAGGGGGAGUUGGACCAAUAUAUAAGGUAUGUUGGUUCUCACCUCUUGAGCAAGUGAGCAAGGGAAAUCCUCACGCGCGCUCCUCCUCGACGCCUCGUCAUGACACACGUGCGCACCGCGUUUCGUGGAUCGAGUUUGAGUUCGAGCCGUGCCGGGUUGUGCUUAUCAUUUUAGCAGUCGGAAUCCGUUGCGGACGCGUAACAAAUUCCGAUAAUUACGGAGUCGGUUUUGGUUUCCUAAACCGAACCGAAGUCCGCCUGCGUGCCUAUAUAAUAAGAUGACUGCGGCCUCCAGGAAAAACACACCAGAACCCUAGCCGUCACGCCUACGAUCCAAUCUCGCUGUUUGCCGCCGACUGCUACUCCAUCCCGUCGACUGCGUGCACAGAUCGCCGGAAGAGCAGGCCUCCGGAACCCCGACCUUCGAGAUCCUGCCCGGGAGACGGCCGAUAAGGUUUUUGGGGAGCGUUCUCACACGACUGCUCGCUUCUUCACGUCCCUGUUUCGUCGGCAUCUUCAUCACCAAUGGCCGACGACCUCGGAGAUCCUGCGGCUCAGGCUGCUGCUCUAGCUCAGCAGCAGCAGGCUGCACAACUCCAAGCACAGCAGCAGGCUGCCCAACUCCAAGCCCAAGCAACUGCUGCUGCACAGGCGCAAGCGGAGGCACUGGCCGCUGCUCAGGAGGUAGUCAAGGCGGCGGCUGCUACAGACGUGAACAUCAACGCCACCGGACUCGUCACCGAUCUCAACAAACAAACACAAAAAAAGAGUACAGCUCCGUACGUAAUCUAUUCAUUCUUGUUGAUUUUGAUUAGUAGUUCUAUUAUUCAUGCCGUGAAAUUAGAUGAGUUUUAUUGCUGUGCGUUGCUAUUUAAUUUGUCUAGUUUGCAUGAUAUAAUAUGCUACAUGUUUUACACACUGUUUUUCUGGAUUAAAUAUUCAUCGAAAUUACCUAAUUACUCAACACCUUUUCAGAGACUUGUUCGUGAGAUUGCUCAGGUUUUCAAGGUAUGCUUCCUUGAAAUCAUACAUGUCUUCAUGUAGUUGUGUUUUCCAUCCCCUGUCACUUCAAAGAAAUAUUUCUGCUUUUUAGAAAACAUUGUGUAUACAGUAAUUGUGAUUGAUAUUUUAUUCUCCUGCUUAUAUUUGCAGAUUGACUUGUGCUUCCAGAGCCAUGCAGUGCUUGCGUUGCAGGAGGCAGCGGAAGCAUACUUGGUGGGUCUCUUUGAAGACACCAAUAUAUGUGCCGUCCAUGCCAAACGGGUGACCAUCAUGUCCAAGGAUGUUCAUCUUGCUAGGAGGAUCCGUGGCGAGAAGUUGUGAAAAAGCCACACCGUUUGAUCUGUUCAUUAGCAUUGUAGUAGUACAAUGCACGUGCGUUGCCACGGCCUCUUAAACAUAUGCACACGAAAAUUGUUAGAUUGAUUAGGCUAGCAAGCGUUGUUGAUGGCUCUUUACGCAUGUGCCGGAUUGGGAGCUACACGUGUGCAUGUCUGUUGAAGAUCGAUCACUUUUCAUUUCCGUAUAUAUACGUGUGCAGCAACGUUAAUGUAUGUAUCAUAUUUGUGUUGUAUUUGAUGUACGCAUGGAUUGAUUAGUGCGGAUCGAUUAGAUCGAUACGUUUGCAGGUUGCGUGUGUGGUUAUAUAAAGAUUGAUUUGGGCCCGUAGGCUACGGAUGGGUUGAGGCUUGAAAAAGAAAAGGGUUAAAACGCAACAUUGCUUGACGUACCAAACCAACGAUGGGAGCAUUGCUCCUUUUAUUAUUAUGGCUAGAUUAACUCCAUGGGUGAUAUUUGGUCUAAAAAAACUCUAUGGAAGGUAUUUUUGUCACUGCCUUUGACAUGGGGACAGUUUUGCCAAUUGUACUCGACAGCAAAAAAAUCCGAUUGGAGAUGCUAGAUCUAGCUUCAUACGAGUAGUUUUCAAAACCCUUACGAAACCGGUAAAGUGACGGCUUACUGAAAUUAACCAGGAAUGAAACAAUUGCUCAUCGGAAAGAUCAAUAUUAUGCAACUAAAAAAACAAUAGUAUUAUGCAUUCGAACAGUUGAACCGACAACUGACUAAGGGCAUGUACAACAGGCCACCGUCAGCUGUCUGUAAGGAGCGACACUUAGGAUUUUUUGUGAGGCGGAUGAGAGAGAAGAAAGAGAGAGAGGGAGGCAGUCGGUCUUGUUCCCGUUGUAUGGAGAGUUGGGCUUCUUCAUGGGCUAUAUCACGUCCGGAAAAACAGCUUUUUCGGUUGCUCUUUUCCUCUUCCCAAAAGACAGCUUGCUGUCUGAGUUUUCUAGUUGCCGUCUGUAACUGACUUGGAGGUACACUACUACAGACGGUUAGGGUCUGAACCACUGCACAUGCCCUAAGUCGAAUAGGCAACAUCGAGUCCUUCCCGGUGCUCUCGGAAGUCAAACCGGGGUACCACUAGGACAAGCUCACCUCCUCUCCGCCGACGCAGUCUACGUCGCCCUGAACACCGUUGGGUUCACGUGGCAGGCGGGUCCGGCCGCGACGGAGAUGGAAGUGAUCGCGCUCGACUGGCUCGCGCGGCUCCUCCGCCUGCCGGAGACGUUCAUGGACCGCACGAGAUCGGGUGAUCGUGGCACCGGCGGCGGCGUCGGCGUCAUCCUUGGUUUUGUCAGUCGAAUCACAGUAUUUCUCGGGAGGCAUGGCUCCUCACGGGAAGAGGAUCGUGACGAGACGGCGGGCGUUGCUACACAGCGCAGGCAUUUCCACGUGGCUUUGACCCCUUGGGCCCCGCUUGAGAGCUUGGUGUUGUUUUCCGGUUAUAAGACUACACUCCUGUAAAUUACUGGACACAAACGGAAAUAACGGAAUCCUUUUCGGGUGACCAUGCUCUGUUUGGAUUUUUCGAGGGGAGAGAGAGCGUGAAUCUUUCAGAAAUUAUGUUGAAGGCCGCCGGCGGUGACGAGAUGGUGCUCGAGGUGAGGUAGAGGCGGGAGCUAGGAAGCUUGUGGUGAGGUAGAGAAGGAAGCCGAGGAGGUUGCGGAAAAAUAACGCCACCCGUCGUCGCAGCCUCGCGCCGCCGGACACGCUCCAGUCGCCGCCGCCGCCGACGCGCACGCUCCAAGCACCGCCGCCGGAGCACAUCCCGUCGCCUCGCGCCUCCGCAGCUAGAAUCAGACUAGAAUCGUCGCCAGUACUUGGUUGAUCUACAGCAGAGGAGGGCGCCGAACUUGGCUGAACUAACGUCGCCCCGCGCAAAAUCUUCUCGCCGCCAAUCCAGCUCCCCUCGGCCGCCGCCGCGGCCUCGUGUCCGCUCGACUCGCCUGCCGCUGCCUCGCGCCCGUUCGAGUCGCCGCCGACGACGCGAGCGACGCCUCGCGUCCCCGAUCCAACUCUAGGGUUCUUCCGUCACCGACGAAUUUGUUUUCGGGCCUCCUCAGCUCCGUAUCGAUUUCCGCGUGUAGUGGGAUACAUCCGAACGUAAAAGAAACCGACGUACCAAUCGCGUUUUGAGGCCUCCGUCGGGAAAGUUUCCAGGCCCGACUAAUACCCGGUGUUGGGCCUGAAAACGACAUUCAAGCAGGCCCGGGAUAAUUAGGCCGGGAUUCCGGGUGGAUUUCCAAAAACGAAACGAUCCCAGAGAAAAAGGCGGAACGGAAGUUCUGAAACUUCCAUGUGCAUGCAGGAUUUCUCUACGAUCCGUGUGGUCGUGAUGCCGGCCAAUAGGAGCGCGUAAAAUACCAACGCUGAUCCGCGUCACCACGGAGCGCAGUAAUCUCGGCCGUCCGAUUGGAUUAAUUGCACGCACCAUCGAUGCCAAUCAAUCUAGCACAAAUUAAUACCUGCCUAUGUCGGUUCCUGACCUCCUAUAUAUAAAUACGCAGAACCUCUGCUCUCAGACAAUUUCUACAUCAGAACAAGGGCUGAUCACCUGAGUACUCACAGCACAAGGGUAGCAAUUGAGAGGUAAACCGAUUCCCCACCCUUUUGGUACUCUAUAACCGUAGUUUUCUUUCGUUUAGCCUGUAGUACCUAGCUAGCUUUAUGUUUGCUUGUGUUGGUCGGACUCGUCAGCAUGAACUGUGGCCGCUGUGGUGCCUUGUUUAUUCUAUCAAAAAAUUGUUGAUAAUCUGAUCUUAGCCAAACUUGUUUUUUAUAUAUCACACCGUAAUAUUUUAAGGUAUAGCCUAGAUAGUUAAGAUCCCAAGAUUUGGGCUUCUGCCUUUCUUUUACUCCCUUUGAUUUAGCUUUGUAUUAAAGUUGUAUUAAAUCAGCGACACUUGUUAUGAGUGAGGGGAGUAGUAACAAGGGGGGAUUGGGAGAGAGGUGGGGGUGGGAGGAUAUGUAAUAACGUCACAUAUCAGCUUAUCAAUUAAUCCGAUCACAAAAACUAGGAAAACCAAAUGUCAAGUGAAAAGAAGUAAAAAAAACCUACUCCACUUAUUUACAUACAAGACUAAAAGGGCUACCAACAUGGAAACGGUCUUCAACGAGCGCACAAAAGAGGUGUCUCAGGCGUUGUAAAAGGGCAUCCCACUGGGAGUCAACACAAGUUGCAUCAACUCCAUUCACUUGCUCAGCGGUCAGGGGAAUUUAAGCACACGAGUGGAAUGAGUGCUUUCAAUCGUUUCAGAUGUCUUGAUUGGACGAUAUUAACUAUAUUAUGUCUAGUUUUAUUCUAUUUGAAGUGCUUCAACUUUUUUACAUGAUUCAUUGACCAUUUUGGUUGCAGUAUGGCUCGAACUAAGAUAACAGCUCGUAACUCCACCGGAGGAAAGGCUCCUACGAAGCAACUUAGGGCAUUUUAUGUAUGCACAUUGUUUGUCCUUACUAUUUACCUGCAUUUAUUCUUUACUAUAUUUACAUUACUAUCAAGCAUGUUUGUUAAUUUAUCAAUAAUAUUGGUUCCUUGAUGACAGGCCGCCGCUCGUAAGACGGCUCCCACAAUUGGAGGAGUGAAGAAGCCUCACCGGUAUCGUCCUGGAACUGUUGCUCUUCGGUAUGUGCAACAUAAUAGAAUCAGUGUGUGCACACUCAAGUAAUUGUCCCGUUAUUAUCAUGCCCUUCAAUUCGUGCAUGAAACCUCGCAGCGAAAUUCGCAAGUACCAGAAGGGGACAGAGCUGCUCAUAAGGAAGCUGCCUUUUCAGAGACUCGUUCGUGAGAUUGCCCAAGUUUCCAAGGUAUGCUCCUUGAAUUCAUACAUGCCUCCAGUUGUGAGCUUUCCUCCUGCUGUUUUAAAGAAAUCUCUAUGCCCAAAACUUUAAGAAGCUUUUGACUUAUAUUAGUUGUGAGUGAUAUUAUACUGGCUACAUACACAUGUGUUGCUAUAUAUGGAUAAAUAAAUUAGAUUACUCCCUUACAUGCAUGUCUAGCCAUUGUUAUUGUGAUUCAUUCCACAUCUUUAAAAAUUCUAUCAAAAUGUUGAAAACGUAGGUCGACGGUUGCCACCAAUUGACAUUCUUAUAGACUCGGUCACAAUUUUUUUUUGACAUUCUUAUAAUUUAAAAAUUAUCCUUCUACAUUUUCAGAACGACCUGCGUUUCCAAAGCCACGCAGUGCUUGCAUUACAGGAGGCAGCGGAAGCAUACCUGGUGGGUCUCUUUGAGGACACUAAUCUGUGUGCCAUCCAUGCCAAGCGCGUGACCAUCAUGUCCAAGGAUGUUCAUCUUGCCAGGAGGAUCCGUGGCGAGAAGAUGUAAAGGAGCAUGGCGAUGGAUUUGUCAGUCCCAAGAUAUGCUACGUCGUUUCCACAUUCCUAGGUUUAUGGUGGUGGCCAACUACUUUGAUUUGUCUAUGUCAAACUGUUUGGUUAUGUUAGCUUAUGCAUGCAUCGACUUAAUUAUAUAUGCAAAACUCCUUAGAUAUAUAUAAAGUGUGGUAUGCAUAACUAUACUUAAUGAUGAAUUCCUAUGACUGAAUAUAUAAUAUUUCUUGUCUAAACUUCUACCAUCUGGAAGGAUCAACCUUCGCGUUGAACAAUUUUAGAGUUCACAUUACGGUUGCUAAAUUAAGCUGUGUCAUACAUAAUCUGGUAACUAGCAAAGUAUCCUUUGUUGCGGUGAAACAACAAAUUUAUGCAGGAAACACAUGUAUAUACUCCCUCCGUCCAAUAGACGAUGUCUCAACUUUCACCAAAUUUGAAAGCAUCUAUACACUAAAUCAUGUUUUGAUACAUCAAAAUUUUGACAAACUUGAGAAUUUUUUGUUGAACGGAGAGAUUAUAUAGCAUCAUCAUACCAACAUAAUUUCUCGCAUUUUCAACAGCUCGGCCCAAAACCUAUAGCCCAGUAUUCCUUCUACUGCCAUGUCUUUUUUUUUAACUAAUUCUCCUGCCAUGUCUUUUCCCUCCACUUGACGUGGAGAUUUGUGCCUCCACUCCAUAGCUCACGUCCUUACCAUCAUCACCACCGGCCACAAAUAAAACAAGAAUAAAUUUCAAGAAACCACAUUUUUAGGCAUGCUUCUCAGAGAAUGACAGAUUGCGAUAAUUUUUUCAUGGAACCACGAUUCUUGCGCCUAAUCUUCUCGGUUUAUCCAAAAUUAAUGUUUAAGCGCAUUUGACACUUCUCCUUACAAGCGGGGUCCACUGUCAGGUCGCAGCCCAUUUAUGCAUUAAGCCCCCUUCAUAUUUUCAUUCGCACACUUCUUUCCUCUUCUUCCAAGGACUAAUGAGAAUAGUGUGCAAAUGAAAAUAUAAAGGGGGCUAAAUACAUAAAUGAGAUGGACCUGACACUUGUAAGAAAAAGUGUCAAAUGCGCUUAAACAUCGGUUUUGGGUAAACUGAGAAGAUUAGGCGCAAGAACUGUGGUUCCGCGUAUCCCAAUCUGUGGUUCUGUGAGAAGCAUGCCUCAAAGACUGGUUCCUUGCAAUUUACUCUCGAAACAAAGUACCUCUUCCUCAAAUUUGCCAAAAAUUGAUAUAUCUAUUCUAAAAAUGUCUAGAACAUGUAAUAUUUCGACAAAAAUGAUGGAACGGCAGAUAUAUGCUUCAUUGAACAAGCAAUUUGGAAAAUCUGGUUGAUCAAGCCUGUUAUAAUAAGCCGCGUGAGGGCAACAUUAAAAGUUCAUCGUGUGGCAGUUUAGCAAUUUUUAAAAUCGUAUAGGUCUUAAUAAUGAUAUAACGGGAUUCCUGGCAUAACAUGAGGAGUAUACACAUAAUUUAGUCAAAAAAUAUGAUUACCUGCACUGCACCAAAAAUGUACGGAUACAACCUGAGUAGUGAGAAGAGGUGCGGAAUUUGUUUGCUCUUGUAUUUUUGGUCAAAAUUUGCAUUCGUGCAUGUUAUAUCACCAAAAAGAUUUGUAUGGUCGAUCGAAGCGAGCACAGAAAAUAAAAUAUAAAUAAAUAAACUGGCAUGAGAGGAGAUGCUAGCUGUCCAUUUCAACGGGGAAAAAAAGUACUCCGUUGCGUAUAGCCAAGCCUACUCGAACACAAGGAAUAUCCAGUGAAUUAUCCUCUCCAGAUUAUUAUUUUUGGGAACGCCCUCUCCAGAAUGAUCCGCCGAUUCAUACGAUGGACUACUCCGGUAGCAGCUAGCCGAAUGCCGAAUAGGACAUACUAGCUGCCAUCGCCAUGGCCGCCGCCGCUAACCUCCACCACCACCGCCAUCCGCAUUGCCUCCUCCUCCUCCUCUUGCCACUAUCAUCAUGCCUCCUGUUAUUCCAACCCGUCGGCGGCAUUCCGACGACGCUGGACGGCCCGUUCACGCCGGCCACCCGCGCGUUCGAUCGCUCGCUGCGGCGGGGCAGCGAGGACGUCCCGCUCUCCGACGCCCGCCUGGCCCCGCGCGCGCGCCCGCCUUCCCCGGAGCAGAUCUCGCUCGCCGCCUCCGCCAACCCCACCUCGCUAUGGGUCUCCUGGGUCACGGGCCGCGCCCAGGUCGGCUCCCACCUCACGCCGCUCGACCCCACCUCCAUCCGCAGCGAGGUCCUCUACGGCGCUCGCCCCUCCUCCUCCUCCGCCGCCGGCGCCGGAGAAAAAGAAGAAGAUGGCUACCCGCACGUGGCUAGGGGAUCCGCCGAGGUCUACAGCCAGCUUUACCCGUACCCCGGCCUCCUCAACUACACCUCCGGCGUCAUCCACCACGUCCGCCUCUCCGGCCUCGCCCCGUCCACCCGCUACUACUACCGCUGCGGCGACAGCUCUCUGAAAGCCGGGCUCAGCGAGGAGCGCUCCUUCACCACGCUGCCGGCGCCGGCGCCCGGCGCGUACCCUCGCCGCGUGGCCGUGGUCGGGGACCUCGGCCUCACCGGGAAUUCCACCUCCACCGUCGACCACCUCGCGAGGAACGACCCGUCGUUGGUACUCAUGGUCGGCGACAUGACGUACGCCAACCAGUACCGCACCACCGGCGGCAGAGGCGUCCCCUGCUUCUCCUGCUCCUUCCCCGACGCGCCCAUCCGGGAGUCCUACCAGCCACGGUGGGACGGCUGGGCAAGGUAAGCCUCCUCCCUUUGAUCUCGAUCUCCAUUGUUGAUUUCACGGAUCAUGUUUCAUGUGAUCGCAUUAAUUGCGAAUGUGGGUAUGGAUUUGAUUAAUCAGAUUCAUGGAGCCGCUCGCGUCGAGGAUCCCGAUGAUGGUCAUCGAAGGGAACCACGAGAUCGAGCCGCAGGGGCACGGCGGCGCGGUGACCUUCGCCUCCUACUCGGCGCGAUUCGCCGUGCCGGCCGAGGAGUCGGGGUCCAACUCCAAGUUCUACUACUCCUUCGACGCCGGCGGUAUCCAUUUCAUCAUGCUCGGUGCCUACGUCGACUACAAUCGCACAGGUACGUGGUGAUUCUUCAUUAGUUUGGUGUUUGCAUUGCACGUGGGUGCAAUUAGAUGUAUUUAAUCUGCGCUUCAGGUGCUGACCUUGGGUGUAUACCUGCAUUCUUCGUAGGAGCUCAGUACUCGUGGUUAAAAAAGGAUUUGCAGAGAGUUGACCGAGCAGUCACACCAUGGGUUGUCGCCUCUUGGCACUCGCCCUGGUAUAACAGCUAUUCCUCGCACUACCAGGAAUUCGAGUGCAUGAGGCAAGAAAUGGAAGGGCUAUUGUACCAACAUCGGGUUGACAUUGUCUUCUCUGGACAUGUAAGCAUAUGGCAUUUGGUAAUUGCGUAUAAUGAUUCACUUUGGUUUUUGCGUUUUAGUACAAUCACCGUUGUAACGUCAUGUUUACUGAUUGCCAAAUGUAGUACCUACCAAGUUAGAACCACCCGUUUUAGUACCAAUGUUAAGGCUUCUUUUAUUUGCAGGAGUUUUAGAGGAAACAGUUCAGUGUGUACAAAUUAGUCUUGCCUUGUGGUUCGUAAAGGCCCUUAGUAAUGUUAUUCUUGUAGGACAGAACGGUACGUUGGUAGGCGAGAAUUGUGCUGCAGAUUUACGAUAAAGAUAUUCUGUGGGACGGGAGUGGGGGCGCUUUGAAGCAAAGAAAACAAAGUUGCAAAAGCUGAGAUGACCACUUGCUAAUUGGUAAGUAAUAUGGUCCAAAUGCACCAAGAAACAACAAUGAUGAUCAUGGAUCACCAUGAAGAAAGGGACAGCAAGAAUGUUGUUGAGGUUGUUUAUCUUCAGUUUCUCAUAUGGUUUUUGCUUAUUAGUAUAAUCACCGCUGCAGCAAUCAUGUUUCCCGAUUGCCAAAUACUUCAGUUAGAACCACCUGUGUUAGUACAUCGACCAAUGCGGAGGCCAGAGGAUGCACUCCUUUUCGAGAAAAAAGUGUCAUACCAAUGUUAAGGCUUCUUUAAUUUGCAGGAAUAUUACAGAAAACAGUUCAAUGUCUGUACAAAUUAGUCCUGUGGUUCGUAAGACCCUUAGUAUUGUUUUUCUUGUAGGAAAGAACAGUACAUCGGUAGGAGAGAACCGUACUGCAGAUUUACAGAUAGAGAGUCUGGAGGUGGGGGUGGGGGUACAUUAAACUUUGAAGCAAAGUAAACAAAGUUACAAAAGCUGAGAUGACCACUUGCUAAUUGAUUAAGAUGGUCCAGAUGCACCUACAAACAACAAUGGUCACCACUUGUUGUUGAGGUUGUUUAUGACAUUAAAUUCUGAUGUUAGUCUCAACACAUCUGUGAAAAGUUACUACCCCAAUUCCCAAAAAAUGAUGCAACAAAGUUUCCUCCGCAUUCCCUUAAUCUAGCUUACUCUUCCCAGUUCUCAGUGUCAAUCUGGUUCAUGUCUGAUUUACUUGAAAAAUUGAAUUAUAAAGGUACACGCCUACGAAAGGAUGAACCGGGUAUUCAACUACACGUUGGACCCCUGCGGGCCUGUUUACAUUAUCAUUGGAGACGGUGGUAACAUUGAGAAGAUUGACAUUGAUCACGCAGAUGACCCUGGAAAGUGUCCCUCGCCAGGUGACAACCAUCCUGAAUUUGGUGGACUAUGUCAUCUGAACUUCACUUCUGGUCCCGCCAAGGGGAAAUUCUGCUGGGAGCGACAGCCAGAAUGGAGUGCAUUCCGGGAAAGCAGUUUCGGCCAUGGGAUCUUAGAGGUGAGUUACGCCACUUUCUCUUCCUAAUCAUGAUCAAUUGAUGUGUGCGUUGCAUAAGGGGAUGUAAUCUAUCAGUUCUGACAUGGGAGUUCAUACAGGUCGUGAACUCAACAUAUGCCUUAUGGACAUGGCACCGUAACCAGGACACAUAUGGAGAAGACAGUGUGGGGGAUCAGAUAUAUAUAGUGCGGCAACCCGACAAGUGCCUAUUGCAGCCUACCAGUGUGAUUUCGCGAGAUUGGUAAUAUGAUUUUCAUGAUUUGAUGAUAACUUCCAGUUAGCUAUCUGUGAUGUUAUAUGUAUAUUGCAUUUGUGUUUGUGCCUGUGUGGGUUCUCAAUCUCUUUUCUCGUUUGUGAUUGUAUAGGACAGUCCUUCGCCCGGAUGCCCUUCAUUGAGUAGCAGCUCAGGUGCUCAGCAAGCUGUUCAAAAUGGUGAGCUCCUUUGGGCUACAUGUAUGAUUUUGAUCAGUACAGUUUUGAAGGAACAUUUAUACUUCUAUUAGCCUUGAGUGUGCAAAGGCCAGGGAAGCAGCUGGCAGUAUGUGGAUAGUGUGCUGGUAGCUGACAGAUUAUUUUGUUUGUUGUAAUGGGGUUAUACAAGAAUACGAUACAAGGAAAAACAGAACCAAAUGCACAUCACAGGUGAGGUCAUGUUUUUUUCUCCUUCAUGUGUCCCAAAAAUCUAACCUGCAAUUUUUUGAGAGAAUGUUAACCUGCAUUUGAUGCCAUGACUUUGUAAUUGGUGAACUUCAGUACACUUUUUUAAAAGCAACAACGUGUUUUGUUGAUUAAGUAAAGCUACUACAACAGAUCAAAUAAACUGAAACAAACGUGAAUAUGUUCCCUAAUAAACGAAAGUUACACCAGAAAACAUUUUUUGAGUCAUCCGGAGAUCGUUAACACGAACAAUUUUAAUAUACCAUGGAAUAUUUUUUUGAGUUAUGUGAAUAUAUUUUCAAUUUUGUUUUCAAAAUAUUGUUUGAAUGUCUCAACCUAAGUAAUAAGACAGUAUAAUGAAUCUUGUUUCGUGUGCUGAAUUUGAAAAUGUACUACUCCCUCCGUCUGGAAAUAAGUAAUGUGGAUCUGUAUGGGGUCACUUAUUUCCAGACGGAGGGAGUAUUUUUAGGGUUAAUUUGAUAUAUGCCGCUGCAAUUUUCAUCUUUUGAAAAAUGUCAUUGCAAAUCUACAGAUUAUUCAAAAAAUGCCACUACAAUGGUUCAUUUCUGAAAGCAUGAGAAUUGCAUUUUUCAAAUUUUCUAAAAUUGCAGUGGUGUAUAUCAAAUCACUAUUUUUCAAGUGUAUCUGACACAUGUGGAUACGGUGGUAUCUUACACAUGAUUCAACCUACAUUUUUGUUAAGAUUAGUGGCUGGGCCCAACAGAGAGAAAGAAGAAAAGAACACAAACCUUAACGAACAGUGGACAGAUUUUGGGCUGUGAUUAACGGCCCGGACAGGGCUGUGAUUUAGGCGUGUGUUAGCAAUCACACGCUUGUGAGCUCCUAGGCCUCCUGUCGAUCAGUCUUCUCUUUUCUUUUUUAGAACAAUCAGUCUUUUCUCUUUUCGAUCGACCCACCACCCACUCGUGGGCCAUACCUGCGAUAGCAUGAUCUCUUUCGGGCUUGGGCUGCACAUGACGCUAACUUGCAGCCCACCAACUCUUUUCAUUCUUUCUUUCCGUGACCGACGACAAGCAUUGCUCCGGGAGCAAUGGAGCUCUGAAUCAGCCGCCAGGAGCUAGGCGGAACCCUAGCCGCUAGGAGCCUUCCGAUCAGCGUUUUUUUUCCGGUUCCUCUCGUCUCCGACCGCCGAUCCAGCAUCGGAUGACGAGGGGAACCAUAGAGUCUAACUUCUUUGUGAGGUUUUGUGUCAUCGCGACGGCGUCUUGGUGGAGGAGGCGACGACGUAUGGAAUAAUAGUCUCCCGGCUCCAUCCUCUUCCUGGCGUAGUCAACACGAUCUACUCCAUGGAGCUAGCGGAUCUCGCGGUUUGUUUUUUCGUUAUUUUGCUCUUAGUCAGUUCGGCGACGAAUCAGUAGGUCGACAAACUGUCUUGCAAGGGGUGUGUCCCCGGCCAGAGUGCGUUCAACGAUAUUAGGUUCUCAACGGUUGUGGUGAGCGACUCAUGCGGCUAUUCAAAACCUAUAAGGGUAGUCCAGGUUGUGUAGCUUUGGUCUUCUGCAUUUUCAUCACCGGAGAGAUGGAGAAUUUCCAAGUUACGGAUGACGAAUCAAGAGUUGUUUACUUCAAAAAAUCUUGAUGUAACUUUUAGUUUCAUUAGGGGUUUUUGUUGUUGGUUUUCGUUUCAAUUUCGAUCGCUUGUACUUUGUUUAUUGAAUCAAUAAAGCCAGAUGUUUCUAAAAAAAAACUCUUUUCUUUCUAUUUCUCCGCUUUGCAACUUCCAAAGUUCCAAUUUCUAACGAGAGAACGAACAUCGUCACAUCGACUAGGACGUGUGCUCGAAACUUCCAAAGUCGUGCACUAAACAAAACUACAUGUAAAUCUCUUUUGAACCAUCAAAUUUAUGCAUCGAGGUCUUCUAAACAAAACAAAAUGUUGUUCCUUUUUUGUGACUUAAAAAAAUUCCACCAUUUGUGAAAACUCUUCGUUUACCUUAGAAAAAACUUUAUAUAGUUCAACAAAAAUGUCCCGACGAACAAUAUUUGAAAAAUGCUCCUAAAAGUCCAUGUACCUUGAAAAAGUUGUCCAUAGCUCAUGUUCCUACGUGCGCAAUGCAUGUGCCACUGGCCAGUGUAAUCCUCCAAUGUGUACUAGUUUGAAUCAUGUAUAAUGGGGUGACGUCAAAACUAAAUUUCACAUUUAUUUAAUAAAAUUUAUUAAAUUAACUAUUAAUUGCAAGAUAGUACACUAGGAGAUAAUCUAUUAUUUGAUACUCCCUCCGAUCCAUAUUAAUUGUCAAAAUAUUACAUGUAUCUAGGUGCAUUUUAGGCAUAAAUACAUCCACAUUUGGACAGAUUUGAGACAAUUAAUAUGAAUCGGAGGAAGUAUGUUUUAUUGACUGCUCUAAAUGAUGUGGAAUAUUAAAAAAGAACGGUCAUAUCUACCAUUACAUAUGCCCUUAACUUAAACUUUAAAAACAAAUUUAGGCUUUAUUCGAUUCAAAGGAAAUCAAAACAUAGGAAAAGAACAAAACUUAGGACUGCCAUAGGAUGGCACAUGCCAUACUAAGGAAUUGUCCAACUUCAUUCGUACAGUCAAAAAGAGUUUGGACCUGAUGUUUAAUUUCCUCCAAAAGCAAAGGAAUUCAAUGAGAUUUCUAAGAAAUCAAUUUGCUUGUUUCUUACGAAACGAAUGCAUGUACAGUAGACUUUCUUUUGAAAUCCUGAAUCUUUUAGAUUUCCUACAAAAUCCUGUGAAACGAACGAGGCAUGCAUAUUUGUGGCUGACCUUCAAAUCAAAUCGACGGACUAAACUCUAAAAAAAACACGCAUCCAUUUUACCUCUAUCUUUAUCAUGCCACAAAAUUUAAGAUCGAACAGAGCCGGGGAGCAGCAGCCCGGGCCCCCGGGGUCACAUCAGAGAAAAGCCGGAUCUUUCACCCCUUCUUCGCAUGAGCCGUUGUUGCUGGAUCGCCGUCAAUCCGUGCCACUGCCAUAUAGCCGCAUGCAGGCGGAUGGGGAUGCAGCACCGCCGUCUGGGCGUCUGGCCGGACUACAUUGAUGCUACGCAGGAGGUCAGGUCAGUCCGAAAGAGGAAUGAAUUGGCUGCGCACGGAAACAAAUGCAAUCGAAUUCGCCAGCACAGCACAACAAAGUCCACAGAACCAGUCUCUGUCGUCUCAACUCUUCCUCGCCAGGCAAGGCAGGCAGCCGAGAUCCCAAAGCAGCCCGAAAGACCCAGCCACUGCAUCAGCAGACCAGAGCACAGGAGGCACCCACCCACCAUACCAAAAGCUCGCACCCCCUUCCCUUCCCUGCUCCAACCCCAGGACCCCAGCCUCCACCCACCCCUCAAAAAGAAACGGGAAACACCCGCAGAUUCUCAGCCUGCGACCGAUGUUCCUUCUACCUCACUCCCAAACUCUCUCUCGCUAACCGAGAGACAGGGAACACUGAGCUUGAGUGCAGCGCAAGGCAGUUUGUGUGCGCAGCCAGGGUCAGGCGGAGCAGAGGAAGUGGAAUUCUGGAAAGCCUCCAAACGCAAGCAACCAAGCGCAGAGCACAAACACGGCGCCAGAGCCUGCCUGCAGGAAGUAGUACUACUACUAAUCUAGAAGAAUGCAGCAGCAGGGGGAAAGGGGCGCGGCGGCGGCUACUAGCACGAGGAGGCGCCUGACGGUGCCGAGGAGGACGGCCGCGGCGUCGGCGGCGUCGGUGUGGGAGACGCGGAUGAAGAUGGACGAGGUCAAGGGCGGCGUCAAGGUCUUCAGCGCCGCCGCCGACGACGCCGACGAGGAAGGCUUGCGGGUCUACAGCCGCCUGCGCCGGAACCAGAGCGACGCCGGCGGAGGCGCAGCCGCGGGUACUGGUACGGGCGCCGCUGCGGCGGCGGCGAAGAAGAGGAGGAACUGGAAGGCGUCGGAGCCGGUCACGGCGAUCGGGGACCUGCGCAAGUCGAGGUCCGACGCCGCGGCGGCGACGGGGAUGGUGACGGCCAGGCGGGCGGUGGCGACGGUCGCCGCGCCGGAGAAGAAGGUGGCGGCGGGCGUCGCCGAGGUCAAGGAGGUGGUGGUGGUGGAGGUGGAGAAGAAGAAGCCGCCGCCGCAGCAGCCCGAGAAUUUUGACGAGGAGACCGAGGAGGAAGAGGAGGAAUGGGAAGAAGAGCUGGAAGAAGAAGAGGAGGAGAAGGAGGUGCUAGAUCAAGAUCACAUGGCCAUUGACGACGAGGGAACUGUUCCGGCGACUGAUCUUCAUCAAGGCAAGAAUUAUACUACCUCUUUGUUGUUUCUGGAGUUCGAAUUCAUUUCUCGAUGAAUCGAUUUUUCUGAUCGCGAUCUUGAUUUGGCGUCCUCUGUUCCAGUGGAUGAACAAGAUCUCGAGCCACCGACAAAAAGUGAGAGCAAAUUCUGUUCAGAAUUAUUAUUAUUAUUUAUGUUCAUUUCCUCUUUGGCUUCUAAUGAUAAUGAUUCUCUGUACAAGUGUAGAAGGGGUAAAGCCUGUGGCAGCGGCCCUGGAAGAUGAGAGAGCGGCCAAUCCAGAGCCGGUGAAACUUGCUGCGUCGGUGAAUCUCAAGGCGAUGAACCCAGAGCCCAUCACCCCUCCUCCAGGUGAAUUCCUACCUACUCCACGGAUGCAGACCUUGUGCUGCUAAUUCAGGUGAAAUUUUACUGACUUCCUCUGUCCUGAUAAAAUGCAGCGGAGAAGAAACCAACUCCGGUGAUAGUCCACCGCGUGACGAAUGCAGAGCCGACAAGACCUUCUCCAGGUAUCCUUGUUGCAUUUCUUAACGAAAAUUUGGGUAACCUUGAAUGCAAAUUUAGCAUUUCCUCAGCUACAGUUAAUCGGCGACUGAAAAUUUAGUAACCUUCUUUUCUUGCUUAUUCAGAGAAGAAAUCAUCACCAGUAAACGGUCGCCGGAUUCCAAAGCAAGAGCCCCUCAAUACUCCUGGUGAGCGCCAUUAGCAUGUUCUUUCUGCGUUAUCUUUUGUUUUUAGAUAACGAGAAAUGCAUCAAGAUGAUACAAAAAAAAGAUACUCUCGGUCUCUACAGCCUUAUGUGUUCUUCUUCUUUUAUGGUUGUUUGCUGAUGUAUUCUUGUUGGUCCCGAAGAGGAAGAGUAUGAGGAGAUUCAGGGCAGGCCAUCAGGACCUAGCAGAACCAAUGGAAGAAUGCAGAACAUUGGUUAGUGCUCUACGGCUUUAAAGUUUACCAACUUGGUGCUUUUCUUUCAGAUUUAAGAAAAUGGUUUUGAUGGGGUUUUUUCUUCCUUUUUGGCACUGUUUUUGCAGUGGAUUUGGUGAUGUGGAAAGAUGUGUCGAAAUCUGCAUUCGUGUUUGGAUUUGGUACUUUCUUGCUCAUCUCCUGCUCCUAUGCCAAAGACCUGAAUUUCAAGUAAGCCACCGUUCAGUAUUCACUGCACUCUCACUAUCAAGAGACAGAGAAAUUACUGACAUUUUAGCAGUAAAUCAUCUGACAUUCCCUGACAAACCUCUCAAUUGAACAGCACAAUAACAGCAGCUUCGUAUCUAGGCCUAGUCUACCUUGGCCUAAGGUUCCUUUGCAAGUCCAUACUCAACAGGUAACACCAAAUUUGCUCCAUAUCAAUUACCUAAAUAAUUUUCCCAAAUUAAUUACCUGCAUAAUAAAAAAAGUAAAUCAUCAAACCUUUUCUUGCCCAAUAACUACUAAAUCCCUUGAUGUAAAAAUAAAUAAAUGCAGAGGUGAAAGUGUGGAGUGUGAUGAUGAGAAGGACAGUGGGAGGUACCACCACCACCUGGUAGGGGAGGAGGAUGCCAUCUGGCUGCUGAGGCUUGUGCUGCCCUACGUCAACGAGGUGCUCCUGAACCUCCGGUCUCUCUUCUCCGGUGAGCCUGCAACAACCAUGAAGGUAAAGCAAAAAAGCAGCUGCUGUUUCGGUGCUACUGUACCCUGGACGCAUGCAUCUCUCUCUAGAUUUGUACCAACUGACAGAGUGAUGCAUGUGAUCUGCAGCUGGCACUGCUGCUGUUUGCAAUGGCCCGGUGUGGCAACUUUGUCACCCUCUGGACGCUGGCCAAACUGGGUAAGUACCACACAUUCAUCACCAUCUAUGUACAUCCUUGUCUAUCUUCUGUUUCUUCAUUUCACCAAGCAGUUAAAGAAAGACAUAAAGUUGGUGAAAUAAUCACUCCAAAGUUUAAUGGGAAACUGAAUAAUUAGUGCCUGUCGGUAUAAACAGAAAAAAUAAAUCUUCAACAAAAAAUUCUCAUACACAACCUAGCUUAGUAACUUUAGCUAGGACCACAAGCAUGCUGCUGCUGACCAUUUUUGUGCCUGUGAUCUGUGGGUUGUUUUGCAGUGUUCUUUGGCAUCUUCAUCAUUCCAAAGGUCUGCUCCUCUUACUCCACGCAGCUCGCAAGAUAUGGUAAGAGAAACCAAAGCUCCCCUUUUGUCGUAUGAAAACUUGUUCAUAUUUUCCACCAAAAAUGUGAUCUACACACAGAAAAUAUGCAAGAACAACCUCCUACAUCAGUCCAUGAUACGUGGUCCUCACUGAAUUCCCAAUGACAAGUUUUUGUUUUUUUUUAAAGGGGAAAAGAUCCCCGGCCUCUGCAAUGGCAAGUUUUUGUACUCCGUAUGCCUUAUUUUUGUUCCUAGGGAUAGCUGCUGCUUUGUUUUUAAAAAAGAAAGCAUUUGUGGUUGUUGGAUCCAAGUUUUCUCCCCUGCGGCAUGGGUACACUAUUUUUACUGGUCCCCAACCCCAAGGCCAGAGCCGCUAGAGCAUGUGCGUAGGUAAAGGAAAAUUAAUGAGCAAGGUAAAUUGUGGAGCAGGACAGAAGGAUUUUAUUAAGACACCAACAUCGGUAUUUGAGAUGGUACAUACUACCUGUACUGGUAGUACUCCACUAUGCCAUUUACAUUAGGAAGCACUGCAGAUUCUCUGAUGAUCUCUAGUGAAGCGAGAUAUAGAUGAGCCAGAAAAGUCUUGGAUGGCGAGCCAAUAAGAAAAAAAACAUACAUUUGUUCUAGAAACCACUGUUAGGUUCAUAUAAGUUGCAACAAAACUUCUGCGUUGCAGAUACUAUUAAAGGCAAUUUAUACCCUGGGAAAUCUACAUGUACUUUAGUGUAAUAAAGUGUUUUUGAUUUGAUCCUGUUUUUACCACUUCAAAGGAGAAACCAUGAAUCUUUCAUUUGCACUCCUCAACCUUCAUUUAGCUACUCAUAAACUAAAAUUGAGGAUGUACUUAGACCUAGUGUUAUACUAUACGGAGUAUGUGGUAAAAAGGUGAAGUGGUGACAUCUGUCUAGGAGCAAAGUAUAAACUUGCUUAGCUAACACUAAUUAUUAGGACCGCAUCUAGACCCAAGUUUUGUGGAUGAUGGGAACAAGGUAAUAAGUAACAAUCGGAUAACUUUUGGCUUUGGAGGAAAAGUAAAUUAGGGAGGGGUAACUUUUUCGUAGGAGAGGGGCGGCAUGCACGUGCGAGGUGCCGCGUGGUCAAACAUUGGCUUGAUUAACUGUCGUUGAUGCCUGAGGUGGCUCAAGCUAAAAAGGAUACUCCACCAUACUAGAUGCUUGUACCAGGACGUGACCCACACCUUGUCUCCUUUUCUUUUCAAGGGGGAAAAAAGUGAAAAGAAUCUUACUAACGGCUAAUGUUAGUCCCAUCAUUGGUGUCGUUAAGGACUUAAGGAUUGUUAAUUUAUUGACAGCGGAACUUUGCGUUAACUAAUGGUAGUCAGUAUAAUUACUGUAUUUAUCGUUAGAGUAUUGAUUUUCGUUGUGUCAGCUUUUGAGCUGUGGCUGUUUGUCACUUCCCCGCUCUUCUUAACACGUUAGUGCAACCACUCUUGGACUCUAACGCUCAUGAGUCAUGAACCAUACCAGCUUUUGGCUUCUCUCCUAGGCUGGAUUAAGCCUAAACUUGUGAAUUGGGCACUAAUUUACGUUAAUUGGUGAAUCACUGAUAUUUAUCCUUGGAAACUUUACUUCUCAACCGUUGGAUGUGUCCUCAUCAUGAGAACUAUCCUAGCUUGGUUUGCUACAUUGGUAGUCGGCAUGACAGAACUAGACAGCCACAAAAAUGUUGGCUUCUUGAGAUUCUUUCACCUAUGCGGCUAUGCAUAUGUGAUAUGUACUACCAGUACUGAAGCUUCCUCCUAGCAUUGCCCUUUUCGCAUGUGUAAUGUUGGCACUUGGCCACUCCCAUCCAAGCACAUUUCCCAUCUCUAGAUCCAAUCCCCACCUUCCCUUCUGGCCAGCCCCUCUAUUGGGCCAUCUGUUUGUUUACCAACCCAUCAACAAUAAUAUAUUGACAAUACUCCAAAAAUAAGUAAUUCGAUAAAUAAAUAAAUAGAUAGGUUCAUGAUUCAUGUGACAUGAUCAUCGAAUUCGUUUCUCGUUAACAAACAUAGGGAAGAUCCUGAUGCUAUAAAUGAUGUUGUUGUGCUACCAUAUCUGCCACUUCUUAAUAAAGUGGAAGCAUCAAUCAUGUGAUGAAGUUGAUUGUGAUGAUGGAUGUUUGCAUCACAGGCAGUUCAACGAGUCUAUCAGAGUCAUCAAGUCCAAUGACUUCACUGAUUAUUAAUUAGUGAAGGUGGUCGGUAGAUUGUCACUGUCCAAAGUCUAUGCAUAUAUUUUGAUGCUUCUUCCUUUCUCACAUUUCCUGCUCAUCUUGUCUGAUGUCACCAAAUUUCCUGUUUUUACCAGACAAACCCAUCCAGAAUUCCAGAUAUAUGUAGCAAAGAGACCUGAUGUACCUCUAGUAGUUGACGCCGUGGACCAACCGGCACUAACUCUAUCUUUUUUUUUCCUGUUUUGCUUUCUAGAUGAAAAAGGAAGUUCAGAAGAACAAGAAGAAACAUAUAUCAUAUCCAACUUUAUGCUUAGCUCUCUCAAUCUUUUAUUUAAUUGAUAUGGACUAGGUCACCUAAUUAGACCCAACUUUACCUUGUCUGGUCUAUAAUCAUAGUGGUCAAUCCUAUCCUCAUCGUGUCCAAAGAAAAUGCAAGCCACCAGGAAUUGGAGAACAAAAGGCCAUGGGCAAACAUGAUAUCACCCCAGACUAAAAAACGUACAUCGACCAUGAUUAAAACCUAUAAUAAUAAUAAUGCAUAGUUCUUUCCCUCAAGGGAGGAAUGAAAUAUAUGUAUAUAUAUAUCUAUGUAUAUCUAUCUAUAUGUAUCUAUAUAUCUAUGUAUAUAUGUAUAUGUAUGUAUGUAUAUGUAUAUAUAUGUAUACACAUAUAUAUAUAUAUAUGAGAGAGAGAGAGAGGACAUGUGCUAAAAUAUUCGGAUCUUAAUUUGUUGCUGCAUAAUUAUACGAAAUUAAAUUAAGUUGCUUUAAUUGCUGUCCAUGAAUGCGUGGCAGGCAAAUUCUGGCUGGAGAGGUUCAGAGAUGCAUGGGAGUCUUGCUCCCACAAGAAGGCGGUUGUCGCAGCCAUGUUCACUCUCGUCUGGAACGUCUCCUCCACGGUUGCUCGUGUCUGGGCUGGUAAUAAUAAUAUGAUCAACCUCUUCCAUGUACCCCGUCUCGAUCGUCGAACGCAGAAAUUAAUCAAACUGCUGUUGAUGUGGAAAAUUAUUUCGAAUUCGUAUUAAUACUAAACUUUUGUCAUGCAUGAUUUCGUGCAGUGUUCAUGCUGGUGGUAGCGAUGAAAUGCUACCAGCAGCGCAUGAUGGAGUUCGGCUGGAGCAGCUCCGUGGAGGAGGCCGGUGCCGAUGAAGCCGUUGAAGAUGACGGCUUGCAGCAGGAGCAGCAGAAGGAGAUGGCGUCUCCGGUGGCGAAACCUGGGUUCGUUUCGGUGCGGCAACGGCGAACGCCCGUCUCCGGGGAGUUCGCUAGGGAGAGGCUGAGGGCGAGAGGCGGCAUCCAGCCGAGGUGAUAGAUAGGUUUUAAAUUUAGGAGAUUGCCUUUUCUUCUUUUUUAUUUUUCUUGUGGUAGUUUUGCAAGGUGGGGGGCAACUGGAAACAACAGUUUGGGCUUUGUGUACACCGGGCAAUCUAGCCUGAUUGUUGCUCCUGUAACGCUGAAGGAUUUGGCAGUGGCAAAGCAAUAAUGAAAUCGAUCAAUAAGUAAAAAAUCACUGUACCUAAGAGCAUGGCUGUGCAAGGAAUUCCACACAAUAGAUCGCAGCCAUGCCAAAAAAAACUUCACCGUUGCUGUUGCUGUUGCUGUGAAUUUCUCUUCAGGAACGGAGAAUUUUCAUGAGUUGCAGAAUGCAGUUGAAAAGAACAUUGCAACACCAGAUCUAGGAAAGAACAAAAUAUGGUGACCGCAGCCUAGAGGCCUUCUUCUCACAAAACAGACCAGGUGCUGGACGCAUGCAGACAUGACUGGCCACAACAAGGCGCCCGGAGAGACAGCAAUUGCAAGGAACGCGGUUCAAAAAGUUUAAACAUGAUUGGCCACAAGUCGCCUGGAGAGACAGCAAACUAUUCAACCCACGACCGUGCAAAACUGGCAAAUCCGGUUUGUACCAGGCCGGUGCUGUGUUUUGAGCACCCGUGAAUGGACCUAGAAAGUUUACCAGCUGUCCAUGUUUCAUUGUUUUGGCAAAGUAAAUGUAUUGUACCAACCACAGCAAGAUAGGUUAACCAAGUUGCACAAAGUUCAACACAUACGAACCAAUUUGAAUGUACAAAAAAUGGCACUGAAGGUGGGCAGUAUCAAAAUUCAACAGUCCAGGCAUGUCCGCCUAUGUUACUUGUGUCGGUGGUAAAUCAUCCCAUACAGCCGUAGUGUCUAUAAGUUCAGCUGCAUCCUGCAGGACUGAAACCAAACCAAAACUAAUACGGUGCUGAGUUGACCAUUCUAGUCAUAAUAGACGAUCAGAUACACGAUUCACCAAUGCAGAAAACUUUCUUCGUUUCUGUUAACUCGGUCAAAUCACAAUUUUCACAUAUAUCAACUAAAUUCACCAACCUUCGCUCGAUUUGAAGAUGUUUGUGUUGACACUAACUCAUUUUGACAUCCAUUAGAAUCACCCAGUUUUUUAUAAUACCGACCAUCUCAUUUGUUGAUCUAUCACCACAAGCUUCCUGCACAAUGAUCCAAAAUAAUAAAUUGCCACGUAAAAUUUCACCACAGAUGAGCUUUGCUAACAAAAUUUUCUUAAUAAGUUUGAAGCCGGGUAAGAAAAUGAACUUAUAUUCAUCAGGUGUUUGAGGGCAUAUUACCAUCUAACCCCAUUUCAGCUCACAAGGUGGACACUGAUAGACACUUACACAUCGUCAUUCUUUUCUCUAAGUAAACACCCAAGAAAUAUAUUAUGCAGUACUCACCUAACUGACAGUAAUGAUCUGUAAUAUCCACUCACGCAAUAUCAUGUGUCCAUUGAAGAUGGCGUCUGACCUAGAACCUGAUGCACAAAAAGAUCUUGCAACUCUAGGUAUUUACUUCUCCAUUCUGUCCCUAGUUGGUUCGGCAUGCCAUUGAGAGUGCUCGCCCCAGAAUCAAAUAAACUAGAAUUGCCGUGCUGCUGGAGCAAUGCAUAACAAUCAGAUACAACAGAAGGAAACAUAAAAUGGAAGGUUACAAUAAUGUGUUGCAUCGAAUGCAAGGAAAUACAGAAUCAACUGACCUGAAGUGAAUCCAAGCAACGCUCUAGAAGGUUAGAGCUGCGAUAUUCAGCAAUGUGAACAUCAUUUUCAGGGUCGGGCAGAAUUACAGCUUGUGGUUCAACUUCUCCAUUUGCUGCACAAACUUUACGCAGUGGUUGCAGGGGUGGCAGAUUUACUCUCUUGGGUGUUACUAUGAGAACAUUAGUUACUGGACCUGUUAAACAAGCAUUUUACCAAAAGCUCAAAAGAUUGUACUUUCCUAACAUGAUUCAGAAAUUAAAUACAUUACAAAUGGUAUGAAAAAACACCGGUACAACUCAGCCUAUUUAUUUAGAAACAAACAAUUCGGACAAGUUCUAUAGAAUAGCAUGUUCCCGCAUGGACGAGGAGUUGCCAAAUAAGACAUGAACGCCACAGAAGCACAUACUACAUUCAGAUUCGGUCAACAACAUGAUCUUUUAGGCUUCAUCCAGAAAAAAGUAGGACCUGGCUUUGGGUCUGAGAAGAUCUUGCAGCAGACUAUUUCUAUAUGGCACUAUAAUACACAAGUACUGUAACAAAAUACAGAUUGGCCCUUCGAUUGAAGAUCAGCACUCUAUGGGUCACUUUAGUGACUAUAAAUGACGCUUGCCAAAUAGAUACAAAUAUUUUCCCUUUUUUGGCUGGAAACUCUAGGCAUGCUUCCUAAACAAAUGUGUGCUUACAAAUUAAUAUAGCAAAUCCUACUUCCGGCAGGAUGGAUUGGUAAAUUUCAGUCAAAGUAAAGUAUCCUUGGGAACCAAUAUAUGCAGAAAUAACUUGUGCAUACAGAUGCUUUUACUGUUUUAAAUAGAUGUCUUUGGAUAGAAUUAACAAUGUUACCUAGAACAAACACUACAAAGGUAACAAACUAGACUCAUGAGUCAUGUAAAUCUGUUGAGGAUGCCAUCAUCUAAUACCAUCUCAUUUGCUCUUCUUGAGGCAUUGAAACAAGUAAUUAUCGUAUCCUCUCUCAAAAGAAAAAUAAAUCAUCAACUUCAUAGUCCAUGUGAUAACACAGAAUACAUAUCAAACAUGUUUCAACUCUUUCACUACUUUCUGCAUCGGCUGGUAGAGAAAGGUCAAGUAUAGAAGUAACUUAUGGACCUUGAGAAUGUUUGAAUUUCCUGGUUACUUGCUGAGUUCUGGUAUCCCAAACCCGAACACUGCCAUCUUCUGAUCCGGAGACUAGUAGAAGCCCAUCUGUGCUUGAUGCUAAGCUGGUCACUCCCUUGCUGGAACAAUUAAACAAAUAAUCAGGAUCAGCAUAAGAAGUCCUGUAACACAAAUAAAAGAAACACUACGAUAAAGGGACUCAAACUAAACAGCAUUUAGUAGAGCCGGAGAGUAUAGUUAGUCACUAGGGACCAAGUAGGAACAAGUGAGCCAAAGAGUCAUAGUGUUGAGCAGUCCUCAUAAAAGGAUGGCAGGCACUUCUUCCAAAGUCAAGUAUGAAAUCAAUCUCUCAUCUAUAUAUUCUACUCCCUCCGUCCCAUAUUAAACGACUCAAAUUUGUCCAAAUAUGAAUGUAUCUAUGCCUAAAAAGCGUUUAGAUACAUGUCAUAGAAAGUCACUUAAUAUGGGAUGGAGGGAUUAUGUAUCAACCGCUCUAGUCCUCCAGCUGAAACCAAUUACUACUCUAUUUGCCCUUCUAACACCCUAAUCCCUUCAUGGCAUACCCUCUAGCCAUCUUCUGCAUGGUUCCAAUGUGAGCCAACUUCACAUCAGUUAGAAUAAUUCUUACUCAGAUAUAGUUGAUUUCUGAAGCAACAGUUAAAAGUUGCAGUAUAUUUGCAUACAACAGUCAACAGGUGAAUCACAUUUGGGCAUAUCAAUCGUACUAUUUCUGUUCUUCAGUAAUACUAGGCUACAAAUUUAUAACAUACUCGAAACAAAGCAAAGUACAACAAGACAAUACAUUAUUUGAUAGAAAGGGAUUGACACAGCUACAUUAGAUUUCCAAGGCCCAAUUAGAGAUGAGACAUAAAAAGAUUCUUACGUCGUAGAAGACAUAACCUACACAUUAGAGCUAUUUAAAUCACAAGAUAAAAGAGAAAUGCUGAUGAAAAGGUAUGACAGUCGGCAAACCUGUGGUCAUCCAAAGCGCCAAGAAUAGAUGAAUCACCACUGCCCUGAGAGGUGACAUCAACACCCAUAGCAGUAACAUAUAUCUUUCCAUCUCUACCACCAGCAUAGAAAAUAUGACUUCUUGGGUCUAGUUCAAUGGAAUCAAUGAUAGCAGGAAAUGAAAUACUUCUUAUCAUCCUGCCCUCAGAUAGAUUCCAAAUCUGGGGAAAGACAAAAAUAUAAGCAAGGAGAUCCUUAAUUAGGCCAAGAUGCUUAAUUUAUGACCUGUAAAGAAGGAUGCUAACAAGAAUGUCAGGAACUUGUAGAUUCAUGCAAGCAUGCACAACAUACAACUCAAAAGACGAUAAAAAUAAAAAUGAAGACAUACUUUACAGGUGCGAUCCUCUGAAGACGAUACAGCAAUUGCUCCAUGGAAACAAGCAAUGUCAGUUACAGGAAGUGCAUGCUGAUUGAAGCUAUACAAGUAUGGUGUCUUUGCCUCUGACCUUGCCAGCUCAUCAAGCAUCCUGCAAUCAAAACCACCAAACCGGAUCAAACAGUAUACACAAUAGUUCACUCGAUAUCACCUAAUCAACAAACAUACGUGAUAAGAUCCCAAACUUUGAUGCUCCCAUCUUCAGACCCCGAGACGAGCAACAAGUCAUAGAGGGCAAGACACCUAACAUCACGAUAGUGUGCAUGCCAUCGGACAAGAAGCUCUCCAGUAGCCACCUGCACAGGAACACCGAGAAAAAUCAGGUGUAGGCUAGAACAACUUUUCACAGUUAGUUUCAGCACAGCACCAAGAAACCACAAUUUCCCAACCUCCCAAAAGAAUAUGUCACCGGAAACCCCGCCUCCAAUGAGAUAACUCCCCUCCGGGUCAGCAAUGAGCGCGCGGAUUGGCUCGGUGGGGAAGCUCUUCACGGCCACCUGUGGCUGCAGUUGGAACCAAAGACAAGCUCAAGGCAAGGGUUUGGAGUUCAAGCAGGUGAUGUGUGGUUCGCGAAGGGUGCUUACCUUGUCCCAGUGGUAGUAGUAGAUGGGGGCGGAGUUGCCGGCGGGGGCCUGGGCGGCGGCGAGGAAGCGGUCGGCAACGGCUACGAGGGCACGUGGCCUGGAGGCGCAGGGGCGGUGACGGAUGGCCUCAGCGCCCGUGCGGAGAUCCCAUGCGGCCACGCCAGCGUCGGUGGAGGAGGCUGCGAACACCAGCUGCUGCGACGGCGGCGCCAUGGGGGUGGUGGGGAGAAGGGGAGGCUAGGGUUUAAGUGCUUUGAGAAUUUGGGGUUAAAUUGAAUUUUAGUGUCCAAAGCAAAAGCUGCCGUUUCAAAGUUGGCAAAAUUUGCUCACGAAACUCUUCCUCCCGCCUAUAUCUGGCCAUUGGGCCGACCACGCACGGCCCGGGCACGAGGAGGCGGCGGCCCGGCACGGCACGGGUUGGCACGAAAUGGAUCCGUGCUGUGCUGGUUUGGCCCGUGGGCCACAUUUCUGGAAAAAGCCCGGCACGUGGUUAAUUCGUACCUGGCCCGGCGGCACGUUAGCCUGAAGGCCCAAGAAAGAUAGCUCGGCCUGUUUUCGGCCCGUUCGGGCGCCCCCGUGCGUGCUGGCGACGUGGAGAACUGGAGACUGGGCCGUUCGCCCGUUCGGGAGCCGCCUGGGCGCGCUGAUGACGUGAAGACUGGAUUAGUUCGUGCGUUGCUUUGGCUCAAAAAAAAAGUUCGUGCGUUGCUGCCUGCGUGGUGUUAGCUGCUGUCCAAUUUUGUCUAAAAAAAAAGCUGCUGUCCAAUUUGAAAGGCAAAAAUAAAUAAAGUUGAGACAAAGAGACCAAGUGCCAUAAGGAUAAAUAGUGAGCUUUAUUAAUUAAGCCUGCCUCGUUAGAACCUUUCAGGUAAACUUCCCUAGGAGACAAACCCUGGUAAGGAAAAAGAGUACAAGCUUGCUCAAAAUGAAAAUAAUUUGUCUGAAAUAAAAUAAAAUUAUAAAAGGAUAAUAAAAUUACAGAGGGUACAACUAUUCUUGUUCAGCCUCGUCUAGAUAAAUAUUUUGAAACGCGGCUGUUAGCUCUGGGUUCAUCGGAGUGUGUUGAGCUCGGUGUUUGGCUAGCACCAUAUCCUUCACGGUCAUCAGUGUGCUCACCAUAUCAGGUGUGAGACAUGCUCUUCUUUCCUCAAAUAUUCUUCCUGCAAGACUGAAAGCAGACUCCGAUGAUGUUGUUGAGACGGGUACCGUGAACACAUCUUGUGCUAGUAUGGAAAGCACCGGAUAUGUCAUCUUGUGGUCCUGCCACCACUUCAAUAUGUUGAAUUCAUCCUCGUUGCUUUCUUCAAAGCUCACAAUUGGGGACCUCAGGUACGUGUCUAACUCCCUGUCGCCGCCACCUAAAUGUGUGCCGGCAGUUGAUGAUGACGAGCCCGACGAAGAGGAGAAAAUCUUUCCGCAAGCCGUUUUCUUCUUUCCUGCAGUUGGUUGUGAUGUAGUCCUAUGCUGCCGGACUCCGGCAUACUUUUCAUUGUACUUAUCAAAAAGUUGACAAAACUUAGCUUUGACAUCAGAGAAAUAAGCACAAUAAUCACGUCCUACGACGUCAGUUAAAAGUGAGAGUACAGUACCAAAUGCCUCAAUUUUAGCUCUAGGAUCCAAAAUAAAUGCAAAUGCAUACAAAAGAGGAAUUUCUUUCCAAUAUUUUCUAUAUUUAGCUUGCAUUUUAAGAACAGCCGGGCGUAAAUCAAUAUCAUUUUCAUAUGCUUUUAAGUGGCCGCCAAUGUUAAAAGUUGAUGCACCAUUAAAGGAGACGUGGGAUAAUAAACACCAGACAAAGCAUUAGUUGAAUCGGAAAGAAUGUACAAAAAAUCAUACAAAACUUGCGGAGCAUGCCAAUCAUGUUCGGUCAGUAGGAUACGUCCGUAAUUUGCAUUAACAAAAAGUGUGAACCACUCUUUUUCAGGAAGCACAAUUUUAAGCAUGUCAUGCGUAGAGUUCCAUCUAACAUCCAUGUCUAAAUUCAACAUACGAGGACGUGUUCCACUUGCCGCGCAAAAUCUCUUGUAAUUUGCAAUGCGGGUAUUAGAAGCAUUCAACCAAGAUAUUGCAUCUCUAAUAUUGUCUAACUACUUAUUCAAAUGCUUCAAAGCACAUUUAGCAAUAAGAUUAAGGAUAUGACAAGCACAACGUUGAUGCAAUAGCCAAGAUGCAGCAUAUUUGCUAAGGACAGUACUAAGGUGGUUCAUGGCACUAGUAUUCGAUGCAGCAUUAUCCAAAGUUAUUGCAAAAAUCUUUUCGGUGAGACCAAAAUCAUUAACAACUUUAAUGAUUUUUUCAGCAAUUCGAACUGUUAUGGGAUACAUCAAUUAAUUCAAAGCCAAUGAUUCUUUUUUGUAGUUCCCAAGUUUCGUUGUUAACAUAAUGAGCAACAACACUAAUGUAAUCUUGCUUACGCCUACCACUCCAGAUAUCAAAUGUCAAAGAAACUGAGAAGGUGCAUGUAGUAAAGUCUUCUUUUAAUUGCUGAAGAGCAUUCUUGUUUAGUAUUUUCAUAUCCCUAGUUGUAGUUUGUCUAGAAACCGGUUUGAAAUUAGGAUUAUGAGCAGUUUGAAUAUAUUUGACAAAACCGGGAGACUCACCAAAACCAUGCGAUAAAUCGUCAUGAGCAAUUAAAUAGCAAAGUUCAUUUCGGGCUACCUGAGCAUCGCAGUUCCAGUUUCUUACCAAACCGUCGGGGUUGAAGCCGAUAGUGCUUUGUACCUUCCCUUGUUCCUUGUCCUUCUUCACGUGGCCGGCGAUGUGCCUCUCCAGGUGGCCGGUUCCUGACUUGGAGUUCCCGCUAAGCGGCUUCUUGCAUCUCUUGCAUAUGCCCUUCCAGUUGCUUGUCCCAUCCGCCAACUUCUCUUCUUCAAGGUCAAACUCUUUCCACACCGGUGAUGUAGUGCAGCGCUUCUUUGCGCCGAUGGUGCAGGAAAUGGUUGCACUAGUGGAAGCGGUGGAAUGGGGAGGUGGAGGCAUUUGUUGUGUUUGGGUUUGUGGAAUAUCGGGAGGAAUGGGAGUGGGGCUGAAUCCAUAGGCGGUCAUGUCUAACCCCAACUCCUCCGGAAGGAAGAAUUGGUUAUUUUGAUCGUCAGGAUUGUAUUGAUGAUUUGGAUUGGCCAUGAGAUUGAAGCGUGAGGUGAAGGAGAAGUGUGUGGUCUGAGAGUGGGCAAAUGAGUGUAAUGUGCAGCUCUAUUUAUAGGAAAAAUGAACCAAAUUCGGAGCUCUAAUGCUCUAUUCAAAAUUUUCGGUCACUCUCUUGCUUUACGUGCCUGCGUGCUUAUCUAUCAUGCCGUCAUUUUUUCCGUUUACAUGCCGAGCAACGUCCGAGUCAGACUUGGUCCACGCCCGAUUGGUCCCUCGCGCACGCGGAACGCGUCGAUGCGCCAGGCCGCCAGGCCGCCUGCUCCCGACGCGGUGCACCUACUCCCGAAGUCUCCUCGAGCGGGAUUACCACGCGUCCACGCGGAACGCGUCGAGCCGUCCAUGCGCCAGGCCGCCUGCUCCUGAGAAAUCAGUGCGCCUACUCCCGAAGUCCCGAGAAAUCAGUACUCCUCGAGAUUACCACGCGGAACGGACGAACGGUCCACGGUCCACCACUCCACCCGUGCCUGAUUGGCCGAUUGCGCCGCGCGGCCCCGCGCGAAAUCAACGCUCGCUCGAUUAGCGGCCUGGCGCGGAUGACCAAAGCCCGAUUGGGUCGCGCGGUUCGCCCAGAAGCAGAUAUCCCGAUCGUGCUUCCGUUCCGUGCGAUCGUUCCAAUCCUAAAAACCGUGCCUCGUGCCUCUUGUUACGGUUUUUUCAUGCCAUGCCGGGUGAUUUCGUGCCGGUCGUGCCAUGCCGGGCUCGUUCCCGUGCUGUGCUAGUUCCGCGAUUUGUCAUGCCGUGCUCGUGCUAGUCCACGGGCCGCAUCUAAGAAAAAAGCCUGGCACGUGACGGGCUUCGUGCCUGGCCCGGCCCGAUUUGCCCGUGCCGUGCCGUUCUGUGGGCCGUGUUUUUUACGCGUGCCUCGGGCCAGCCCGAAAAAACACGGCCCGAUGGCCAGAUAUACUCCCGCCUCUAUGCUCACAGCCUCACAUUUAGUCCUCAAAACUCGAAGAAAUAUAAUGGAACCGUUUGAUAUUUGAAGACGAUUAUUACGUUUAGUUCCUAAAAUGUGAUAAAGUGGAAUGGAAGUAAGAAUCAUUUGGUCUCCCAAAAAGAAUAUUUGUGUGAUAUUAUGAACAUCCCAUUACUCACGUAUCGUCUCUAUUCACUUCGGCCACGGGCUAAAAACUAACUCUGUCUUUGUCUCCCGUAAUCACACUCCCCACAUCUCACCCAGAUUCUUUGUCUCCUUCGCCUCCCACCUUGUCUCCUCCAUGGCGGUAGUUCAGCUGGCCAUUCCCCACAUAUUCCGGCCACCAUCACCCCCUAGAAACAGACCCUGACCACCCUCUGGCAGCGGUAGGGUCAGGAAACUAGUGGCGGGCUUGGGAGAGGAGGCUGACGGUUGGUUCAAGAGAGGAAGUUGGCAACAGGGAAGGGAUCGAGGUCGGCGGCGGGGUUCGGGAUAGAUGUCCGACGGGUACUAAAGAAAGCAAGCCGGUGAGGAGUAGCCCGGGGAUUCCGGGGAGCGGAAAAGGGAGCCGGCGGUGAGGAGAGGUGGCCGACGGCAGGCCAUAGUGUUGUCGGCGUUGGGAACUGAAGCCAUAUGUGUAGUGUAUGAUUGAUUUUUUGAAGACAAUGAUAUACAAUACAUGCUCGAUCUUUUGCAAACGACGAUACACACUGUGUGUUUGAAUUUUUACGGACGAUCAUAUAUGCACUGAAUGCUUCGUUCGAGAUAGAAUAAACUUGUAAGCUGAUCAAUUGUAUGUGAUCAAAAUGGAAGCUAUCUCCUAUCGAACAACUUGGGAGAAUCUUGAGAGUAUGGUGGCAUUGUUGUCGUCCUUCUGGAACACCAAGAGCAUAGGAGUACUAGCAAGCACCACAUGUGUGUAUCGCCAAGGAAAUACACUUACACUACAUAAAUUAAAGAGCACGUUGCCCGUCCCCCAACCCACGCUGUCCUCCGCGUUUUCUUUUUGGGAAAAUUCCUCCCCUUAAUAACUGCACAGAGAGAGUGGCUGUUUAUUCAUGCUUGGUGCUCACACGGAUGCAAGCGGGUCACGUAUCUCCUGCUUUUAGGUCAAUUUUCCAAUUUUCAUGUCAAAUUUUGAGCCAAUAUUUUGAAGUUUCAGGUCCCUGAUAGCCUAGAAGGAGAACAUAAACGUGUGAUUCUGAGAGGAUUCUUGGCUAAGGGGUCGUACCAUUCGAGGGUAAUAUCCGUUCUUAUUUCUCAUUGCGCGAAUAAGCAACUUUGGUUCAUAUUCUCGCCCCUCCCACCCCCGAAUGUGUCUUUUUAGGUGUAGCCUUGUUGGACCCAAAUUAAUUGUUUGGACUGAGCUCCUUAAUCGAAUUAUUAAUUUGAAGCCAUCUCCUAGGCAAGACGGGUUUCCAUGGAAUCUCCAACUCAGUGGCGAAUUUUCAAUCAAAUCAUGUGCCAGGCUCUGGUCCAUUCCGAUGUCUCGAUUGCCAACUAUAGGUUAUUGAAACUAAAGAUUCUUGUAAAGAUAAAUUGUUCCUUUGGUUUUUGCAGCAGUGGGUCAUUUAACUAAAGACAACAUGUUAAAACGGAAUUAGAAGGGCAGUUCGAAGUGUAGUUUCUGUCAUGAAGAUGAGUAUCACACACUUAUUUGAGAUAUUGUGUCUCCCACUUUGUGUUGGCAAUGGUCCAAACUAAUCACACCCACGCCGUGAUGUUACUAAUAUGUUAGAUUCAUGGUUACAGGGGAUUAAUAAAAGAUUGAUGACGUUUCUCAUGGUUAGGGGCUGUUGCUUUCUAUUGGGCAAUUUAGCAUGCAUGAAUAAUAUUAUUUUUCAUAGAAAGAACUCAACUUCUCUGAUGCAGGUCUUAUGUUUAGGCAUUCACUGUUUUCCGUACUUGGUCCACUAUUCUUAGUCCAGUGGAUCACCAAUUGGACAAACAUUCAAAUGAGUUUCCAUACAGCAACAGAACACACACACAUUUAGUAUGUCUUGACAUCGAUUCGGUCGAGAGAUCUUGCGUUACUGCUCAAGAUAUUCACCAGCACGGGAACCCUUGCAUCCCCUUCGGUGCAGUAGAUUGUUACCUUCUCAAGGUGCUCAGCAGCAAAUGAUAUUCCCUUGGCUGUUUGAAUCGUUUGUUCGUCCUUCUCACAAUCUAACUGAAAUUUGAAGAACGGAGUAAUUUAGUAAGACUUCAUGUCACUAAUAAAAUAGACAAUAACAAAUGCUGGACAGUUCAACCACCUUAAGCUUCAGGUUAAGCUUCUCAAGCAAAGGAGAGUGCCGGAGAAAGAAACUAAGGGAGAUAAGUUGUUAGAAAGACACCAUUCUCCAAGAGAGAGACUUCUUAGAUUGAUGAACAUUGAGCGCCCUGUAGAUACUCCAUCAAAUGCAACCUUCACAUAUGUCAAACAUAAUAAGCACCUAUUUUAAGCACAUAAAUACUGAGACUUGGAAAGAGAUUAAGAAGCACCCGUACCUGUCUCACUGAAGCUGAUAAUUCUAUGCUCUCGACAUUUGAAAGAUCACAUAGAGUUACUGCUGAUGGCGUUAGCAAUAUGGACUUGGAAGUGCAUUUGCAUCGAGAGCCGUCAAAGCGUAGCGACACCAGUUUGUGCGUACGAAUCAGAAGAUGCUUUGAAACUGAGCAGUCUAUUAUUUCCAGAGUCUUCAAUGACCUUGAUGAAAUCUCAGGUAAUUCAAGAGUGCUAUCUCCAAACUGCAGAUUUUCUAAUGAUGGGCAUGCAUGGUUGAGCCGGUGAAAGAUACAUGUGACUAGGAUAACAUUAGUGAGCUUUAAACUUCGCAGAUAUUAAGACUGAAACUGGAUAAUGCCUGGGUUUAAGUAGAAAGGUUCCCACAAUUUGUAUUCGAUGGAUUUAGCUUUGCGGUUGAUAGCAUGAUCAGUCCACAAGUUAGCUGCAGAAAUGGCGAAAGAGUGAAGGCGAAGUAUGUCCAAUGUAUCAAUACCCCGGCAUUAAAACAAACUUUCUGCAAACUCAUUGAACUUUACUCUGUCCAUAUCAAAGUGAUCAAUAUUAAUAUCAAGGCAUGGUGCUGAGGUCCAUAAUGGGCGCCACCUUGGGGAUAGCACACUUGUACGCACAACAUCCCGUGCUGGCAUGAAGGUCAUGAUAUGAUGGAGUAUACUUUCAUGAAGGAAGCUAAUCCUAUCAUCACAGCAUGACUUCAUUUGUUUUCCUGAGGAAACAUGAUCGAACAAAUGGUAGAUUAGAGACAAGCAUCACACUUUUGCUAUUAGCCGUGUGAUUGAUGAGAUAAGUGACUCGAGGAAAAGAUGUGAAUGAUAUAAGCAGUAAACACAAUUGUGAAGGGACAAAUACUUGUUAUGUGAACUUACCACAAGAUGGCACUUCCUGAAGGUUCCUCUGUGCCGGAUUAAUUUUAUUCUGUUCAUCACUAGAACUUUGUCGCAGAAGCAUUUCAGCUGAGGAUUCAAUCAUUUGAGGCCUGGAAGGUUGCGUCUGUUCCAUCUUUUCUGGUAAAGCCAACUGAAAUGAAGAUGUCUGAAGCUUAACUCGAUCAUGUGGCACAAUGGUCUCCAAAUAAGUCAAUCUCUUGGAUGCCUUGUCAUUAUAAUCAACCUGAGCACAAAACGCACAAUAAAUAUUUAGCCUGCGCUCCUUAAUAGACAGUACUUCAAAUGCUUGAGGGAUGAAAAUUGUAAAUCCCUUGCAUCUUAUGAAAUGCAAUACAUGUACUCUAUGCAGGAAAGCAUAUAAAAGAAAACAUAAUGCACUUCACAAGAAAUAAAAACAUGAAAGUUUAUUCGAGAGUGAACUUUCAUAUGAUGACUAGUUCAAAAUAUUUUUCCGUGAAUGCACACAACUACAGAACGUUCGCAUAUCAUUUCAUUCCUAGGUAGGUAGGGUUUGAAACAAGAACAAUAAACAGAAGCUAAUGCAGACAUGAUCGCUCAGCCAUGUGGUGGCACGCACACCCUAAAUCCAGGGGAUUUCGCAUGCCCCUUUCAUGCCCUCUCCACUCCGACCUGUGCUUCGUCCUUCAUAGUUUGCACUAGAGGAUGGAUGGCUGGCCACUCACUGUUGAAGGUGCGGUUCUUUCCCUCACAACCACCAGGCAGUUAACAUGGCCAACAAUAUCAAUCCUCUAUGGUGUCCCUAAGGAUCUGUGCUGCCCCCAUUGACCAGGCCGAGAAUUAUUGCCACACAGUGUAUCCAGGCAAGACACCAUCCAAGUCUGCCUUGAGAACAAGCAGCCUGACACAAUGUGUUGCCUUGUUUCUUUUUCUUGAUCCUAAAGAACACAUGUCAGCUAGAGUAGCAAUCCUCGCGGUGUGCCAGACAGAAGAAGAAUUUCAUGCGUCUCCGCGGCAAAAGAGGAUUCUGAUGCUAUGCCCAGACCAAGCGUUGGAGCAGGGCCGAGUAGCAGGAUACAUGAUCUAGGCGCCAACUUAAGAAAUUUGGCUCGUCAUGAAGCUGGAAGCAUGUCUAUCACGCCAAGAGCUUAUCAACGUUAUCCAUGACCAUCUCAUCAAGACCAAUGGAAAGAUUAUAUUGAAUGUCAAAAAAGUCAGCAAAGUCAAAAGCAAUAUCCUCGUCAAAGGAAUGAGGAGAGUGUGAUCCAUGUCGAGAUCCUUUCAGAACAAGGUACACGCAAUUGAUUUAUACAGGUCAGGCACUCUAUGGUCGAGCAAUAACUAUUUUUUUUGCGGAAGAGCACUAAAUGUUUUUGUGCAGAACAACAAUAACUUCACUUGUGUGUCGACCGACUUGAGCACUGGUUGAGCCAGAGCAGACUGCAGCACUUGUUGCUUACGGAGUGUAUCCACAUUUUCAUCGAUAUCCCACGUGCCCUUUUAUAAAAUAGGAACCAGCCGUAGUUACUGAGUGGAAGGCCGGCUGUCGUUGACUUGUUGUCACUGACUACCGUGAAAGAGCAUAUAAUUAACGUUGGAGUCUCUCUGACUCUUGAAAACCCCAGUCUGACCAGAUCAUGUGAUACGCUAGUCAGCUUGAGAAAUUCAUACUACCAGAAGCAUUAGUGUCCUAAGCUUUAGCAUAACUAUCAGCAUAUCAGCAUCCAUAGAAAAGCAACGAAGAUUAAAGAAUGGAACAUACCAGGUUAACAGCUAUUACGAAAAUCCUCUGCUCUAGUCUGGCUGCAACUUCAGGAAGAUCAACCAAUGUAUCAUGCUGAUGCUGAUGCUGAUCAUAUUGUGACAGUAUCCGCACCAGAGCCCAAAAACUGAUACAUCUUAUGCACUUUCAGGUUCCAACAGUAGCACUAAAAACUGGUAACAUAUUAUGUGCCCUGAGUGAGAAACAAGGGCACAUAGGGUAUGUGUAUAAGGAAGACCUGUAAGUUGCAGACAUUUUUGACAAAAAGCUUAAUGGAGUUAAGGAGAUAUAUACGCAAACCGUACAACUAGUAGCCAAGUGUUAUCAUAUAGGUCAAUUAUUAAAGUCAAAUAUCCAGAGGAAAAGGUUUGUAGGUACCAUGUAAUAGAUCAGGAUAAUUUCUAUUUUCAAUAGAAUAUGUGGUAUGAGAGAAAACAAGUAUAAGAGGCUAUACAACAAAAUCAGCAGAUAAAGAUGCAAAAAAUUAUCAAUGGUAUGAUGUUAUUGUCUCUUAAUGCAACUUUGAAGGAGAACUCUCUAUACGCUAUCGGUCUACCACCUCAAAUUUCACACAUCGUGUCUGUUGAUUUAAUAGAAAUGUAAGUGUUUUCCUUAAAUACAAGAAACUCAGUUUACAUUACGCUCGAAUAUUUUAGAGAAAACAAAAUAGUGACAAAAAUAACAAAAUGCAGAAGAAGAGCACCGAAGCAGUUAUAGAAAAUAACCAAUCUACAACCACAGAGUCUUUCUUGAUUCAGAGUAUGAUGACAGAUAAGCAUGAUCCACACUAAGAAUAGAAGCUCAUACUAGUACAAGCCUAUCUUUGUUCUGAAUAUGUCUAUUCAACACAAGCAAGAACAAUGCUAUUCAGUUUUCACAAAUGAGUCCUGAAAAAGCAAUGCCAGAAAGGUUGGAAACAACAACACCACAAGAUCCUAAAGCAAAAUAACCUGUGGCUCUAAUCAAAAUCCAUGAUUAAUCGACAUCUCCUCCACUUCUAGAUCUUAAGGACUAACUUCAUAAAUGGUUAAAUAUGCUAUCAACCUCACAACACCCUAGUUUACCAGUGAUAGAUGAUGCCCAAGAGCAAGUAGAAACCAAUAUCACAAACAAAACAGUGGAGAUCUGAAAUGCCAGCAGGAGCUAAUAAAUCAACCAACCAAGGAAUACAGGGAACAAGAAAGGGGGAACUCAC
rnacentral:lncRNA from 1 species